rnacentral:lncRNA from 1 species
GCAAGGCUAACGUGGUGGCGGAUGCGCUAAGUAGGAAAUCGACAGAAAACAUAGCGAUGUUUGUGGUGACCCAACCGCAGUUGAUCGAGCAGAUGAAGCCGUUGGAGUUGGAGGUAGUGACUCCGGAUACACCUUUGAGGUUGAUGACCUUGGUUGUGCAACCUACACUUUUGGAUCGAAUUAAAGAGAAGUAAGCUUCCGAUUUGGAGUUGCAAAAGAUUAAAGGUAAAAUGGUUGAUGGUUGCACCGGUGACUUCUUAGUGGAUGACCGAGGGUUGAUGCGAUUCCGUGGACGGCUAUGUGUACCGGCGGAUGCGGGAAUCAAAGAGGAUAUUCUUCAAGAAGCGCACCGAGCGCCCUAUGCUAUACAUCCGGGAGGUACCAAGAUGUACAAAGACUUGAAGUUGCUUUAUUGGUGGUCCGGGAUGAAAAAGGAUGUUGGCGAGUUUGUAGCUCGUUGUUUAACUUGCCAACAAGUAAAGGCUGAGCACCGAGUUCCCGCGAAAAAACUUCAGAGUUUGCCUAUUCCCGUGUGGAAGUGGGAGAAGAUCACCAUGGACUUUGUGACUGGAUUGCCUCGCUCACAGGCUGGGCAUGAUGCUAUUUGGGUGAUCGUGGAUAGGUUGACGAAGUCGGCGCACUUCAUACCUAUUCAUACGACUUGGACCGGAGAGAAGCUCGCACAAGUGUACCUUGAUGAGAUUGUGCGACUUCAUGGAGUGCCUACGACGAUAGUAUCAGAUCGAGACACUCGGUUUGUGUCUCACUUUUGGAGGAGUCUGCAUGAUGCCUUGGGCACUCGUUUGGAUUUUAGCACUGCUUUCCACCCUCAGAGUGACGGGCAGUCGGAGCGCACCAUUUAGACUUUAGAGGAUAUGCUCCGAGCAUGUGUGAUAGACUUCCGGGGAGGAUAGUCGCAGCAUCUACCCAUGGCGGAGUUUGCUUAUAACAAUAGUUAUCAAGCAAGCAUCAUGAUGGCACCGUUCGAGGCACUGUAUGGACGGAAGUGUAGAUCGCCACUUCAUUGGAGUGAAGUUGGCGAGAGAUUGGCUCUGGGACCAGAUGUGCUCCAGGAAGUCGAGGAUAAAGUUCGAAUUGCUCGGGAGCGACUUUUGACGGCACAGAGUAGACAGAGGAGCUACGCCGACCGACGGCGGCGAGACUUAGAGUUCCAAGUUGGAGACCAUGUUUUCUUGAAGGUCUCGCCGACUAGAGGAAUCAAGAGAUUCGGGAUUCGGGAAAAGUUAAGCCCCCGUUUCAUUGGACCGUAUGAGGUUUUGGAGCGUGUAGGCCCGGUAGCGUAUCAACUUGCCCUACCGCCGAAUCUAUCGGGCGUACACAAUGUCUUUCAUGUAUCGGUCCUUCGGAGGUACAUACAUGACCCAACUCACGUUUUGGAGGCCAUACCAGUGGAGCUGCAUGAUGAUUUGAGCUUUGAGGAGCAACCCUUGAGAAUUUUGGCUCGCGAGGUGAAGAGAUUGCGGAACCGUGAGAUUCCCUACGUGAAGGUACUUUGGAGCAACCACGACGAGCGCGAGGCCACUUGGGAAUUGGAGAGCGCACUGCGGGAGCGCUAUCCCCAUCUUUUUCAGAUGGAGGUUUGAGGUACGUUGCUUUCGAGUUUCGCGGACGAAACUCUUUUUUAGGAGNGAUGAAUAUAAGCACAUAUGAGAUAAGAUUUGCCCCCGCUUGUAUUCUUCGCCUACAAGAAAGAGCUUCCAUCCAAAAAUUCUCUUUUCUUAAAACAAAUACCCUGACUAAAUUCUUUAUCUAAGUUGUACGUUUACAAACAAAACAAAACGAAAAAUAAAUAACAAAAUUCAAUCCGAUUUCAUUUAUUCCAACCGAAAGUAAGUUCGAUGCUAUCGUGAUUUCGUACCAAUCGGAGUAUAAGUACAUGCCGACCAAAGCUAAUCAGACACAAAGAUCCAUUAAUGACUUAGAAUGCACUAAUUAUAUUGCUGAUGUGGCGUUCUCAACCAAUGCAAUUAUUUUUUUGGAAUUCAUCAAUUCCAUCGUGUUUAUCAGAAAAAUAUUUUUAUUUUACCUUUUUCUCAAAGAAAAAGAUAUAAUUGGUUGGUUAUUGAUGAUAUAGUGUAAGUGUGACACAGUAAAUUUUCUGAUCCUUAAAUUCUUUCGUGAGAUCGCCGCUCUUCCACCAUCACUGUCGCUCCGCUCCUGCUCCCCCACCCCUUCACCCAAGCCCGCCGCUCCCCUCACUUGGUCUCACGACCUGACCAACGUGUCCUAACUUUGAAUCGUAAGCACUAACUAUUCCAAAAAUAUGGACUGAUACGACGGCGCAUUCAUCGCACUUAAGGCUUGACCACAACACUCACAGACUUCACAGACUUCGAUCCUGACUCAACUCAUAUGAACAUUAUGUCUAUUAUAAGGCCUCUUGUCGUUAGGUUUAUUAUAAACCGCAAUCACACUUAAAUUAUUAGACUAACCCAACUCAAAUAUUAGCUUCCUGAGCCUACUAUCAUGGAACAAAAAAUUAAGCAUAUUUUAGGCUAUAAUAAACAUAGUUAAUUCGUGAAUUAUUCGCGAUUUAUUGAAAAAACCGAAUAAACCGGUCUGUACACGAUUUAUUUCCAAAAGAUCGAAAUAAUACGUGAAUUUUUGGGUUAGAUUUAUUAUUUGCGAAUAAUUUGCGUAUAUCGAACUAUUCGGCCAAAAAAAUGCACAAAUUUUUGGGAUAAAAUUCCUUUCUGAAUUAUCGCCGGAUUAUUCGCGAAUUAUUGAAAAACUUCAUGACCUUCUGAAAUAUUGGAUCAUGAAAAAGAUGAAGAUGAAGACGAUAAUAAAAUUUGCUAUUAUUUUUUUUUACUUAAUCUAUUUUAUUUUAGGCCAAUUUGCAUAAAGAAUUCAUAAAUUUUAAGCUUUUGCAAAACUGGACCGUCUUUUUUGAUUUUGCAGAUUCGAUCCGAAUUUUCAGCAAACUGACCAAAAUAUCCUUAUUACUUUUUCACUCUCCUCUUUCUCUCUCCUCUUUUUUUCUCUCGUUCAUUUUUUUUCUAUCGCCGAAGAAAGUAGCGGAGGCAGAGGCGGAAGCAGAAAUGGCCCACCUCGCCUCUCACCCUCUCGCCCUCACCCUUGCCCUUGCCCUCGCCCGCGCACCCCCCACCUUCCUCGCCUCCAACCCAACCAAGGCCAUGCCACGACUUUUUUUUUUUCCCUCUCCGACUCUCCUCCACCGUCUCCAACAACGACGCCUCUCUCGCCCUUCCUAGCCCUUCUUGUCCUCUCCCUCUCCCUCCUCCUGUGCCGCCUUCGACGACGACGCAUCAUCGCCGACGCCGACACCAUGGAGGUCGCUGCGGCACUGCAGCCUCGAAGCGGGGGUCUUUAGCGGCGUCGUUGCCGGCGCCGUAGCCGUUGGCAGAGAAGGGUGACAAAAAAAAAUUACAGAAGAAGCAAGAAAAAAAAAAUAAAGAUAAAAAAUUAUAGAAAAAGAAAGAUGAAGAUGAAAUUUCACCAUUAAAAUAAAAUUGUACUGUUUUAAAAAACGUUGCACUAUUAUGAACAUAAGUUGUACUACUUAAGAUGUAAACUACAGUUUUAAGAUAAAAAUUACACUCUUUAAAUAAAAAUUACACUCUUUGAGAGAUAUUUACACUGUUUCUCCUCUUAUUGCACUCUUUCAGAUGUAAACUGCAUCCAUUAAGAUGAAAAUUACACUCUUUAAAUGAAAGUUGCACUCUUUGAGAGAUAUUUAUACUGUUUCUCCUCUUCUUACAUUCUUUGAUAUGUAAACUGUAUCCUUUUAAGAGAUAUUUAUACUGUUUCUCUUCUUGUCAACUAUUUCUCCUCUUGUUACACUAUUUUUUCUCUUAAAGGGUACAGUUUAAGAGAAAAAAUAGUAUAACAAGAGAAAAAAUAGUGCAACAAGAAGAUAAACAGUGCAACAAGAGAAGAAACAGUAUAAAUAUCUCCUAAAGGGGUGCAGUUUACAUCUUAAAGAGUAGAACAAGAGGAGAAACAUUGUAAAUAUCUCUCAUGGAGUGCAACUUUCGUUUAAAGAGUGUAACUUUCAUCUUAAUGGAUACAAUUUACAUCUGAAAGAUGCAAUAAGAGAAAAAACAGUGUAAAUAUCUCCCAAGGAAUGUAAUUUUCGUUUAAAGAGUGUAAUUUUCAUUUUAAAGCUGCAGUUUACAUGUUAAUAGUACAACGUUCUUUCAAAACAGUGCAAUUUUAUUUUAACGGUGCAAUUUCAUCUUCAUUUUUUUUCUAUAAUUUUUUAUUUUUAUUUUUUUUCUUGCUUCUUCUAUAAUUUUUUUUUGUCACCCUUCUCUGCCAGCGCCGGCGACGACGCUGCUAAGGACCCCACACUCCGAGGCUACAGCGCCACAGCGACCUCCACGGUGUCGGCGUCGGCGAAGAUGUGCUUUCGUCGAAGGCGACAAAGAAUGAAGGAAAGGGAGAGAACGAGAAGGGCGAGGAAGGACGAGAAAGGCGUCGUCGUCGGAGACGGUGGAGGAGAGUCGGAGAGGGAAAAAAAAAAAAGUUGCAGCGCGGCCUCGGCGGGGUCGGAGGCGAGGAAGGCGGGUGGUGCACGGGAGAGGGCGAGGGCGAGGGCAAAGGCGAGAGCAUGACGGNGAUAGGAAGGAGAAGAAGAAGGAGAUCAAGAGGAAGGCUUGGAGCACCUCCAUCUCCCUCUCCUCUUCCCAUUGGUGUAGCUCUUGAGGUAAGCUACUAAACCCUAGCUUUGUAAACUUAGGGUUUUGGGUUUUUAUGCUUUGGAAUGGGCCAAAUGGACUCUAGGCAAGCUUCUAAAUAGAUCAAUCCCAUGAUUCUAGGGUUUUAUCGGUGGGUUGCUAUAUGUGCAACCUAGGGCUCCAAAUGGGGGCAUUUUGUAAAGUGUGAGAUUGAUCUCAUUUGAGGCUUUGUAAACCUCAUCGAUAGGUGCCCAAACGCGGGGGCGAAGUCGAUUUCGCGAUUCGUCGAGCGAGCUUGGAUGUAAGGUACCGGACUUCUAAAAUAAUGAAGUUACGGUGUACAUUUGGUUGGAGAGCCAUUUGAAGGGUUCCGGUGAAGUUCGGUGAAGUUCGGGAGAAUCCGGGCGAUUUGGUGUGCGUAGGCGCGGAAAGGGACCCGAAAGGUCAUGUCGGACCAUGAACUAAACCCGGCAUUAGCAGGGAUUAAAAGAUGAUAAAAACAUGCUCGAAAACAUGUUUGGGGAGUCUCGGUUCGAUUUGAAACGAAUCGGAGGUCAAACGAGCGAAAACGGAGCGAAAACGGACCCCGAAAGCUGAAAAAGCUGAAAAUUUGGCUAAGUCUGGAAUGCUGUUUUUCUGGACAUUCGGGGACCGGUCCCUCAAGUCUAGAGACCGGUCCCAGCACCCGAAAAUGGCCCAGUUUGGGCUGUGUGUGACUUAUAUUGUUGAGGGACCUUUGUGCAAUUGUGCCAAGGGUAUAGAGAGGGUUGGGGGCUCAUUUCCUCUCCUUCUCCCUCACACUUUGUAACCUAAACUCUCUCUCUCUCUCUAGAAAGAAAAGAAAGAGAAGAAGAAGAAGAGGAAAGGGAAGGAGAAGGUGGAGGAGAAGGCUUGGAGAAGGAGUUCUACUUCUUCUUCCUCCUCUUUUGGCCAUUGGAGAAGCUUGUUUGAGGUAAGCUUUACACCCUCUAAUGGUAGCUUCUAGUUUAUAAGUUUUUAAGCUCUAGAAAUGGGAUUUAAUGGUGAUUUAGAGAUUGUUAAUCUCAUUUGUUGCAAGAUCUAUAGCUUUAUGUUGCUCUUUGCAACAAUGAGGAGUUAGAGCUCCAAAUGAGAGCUUUAAUGGUAGAUCUCUAGGGCUUUAGUCUUAUGCUCUAGAGAUGGAUUUAGUAACCUUCCUAGAUGCUAAUUAGAUGGAUUAUGUUUAGAUCCAAAGUUCUAAUGGUGGGUUUUUGUCUAAUUGCGACCUAGGGCUCCAAAAUGGGGUUUUAGUAAAUCUUAGGUUAUGAUCUAUUUUGAGUGGUCAGAAACCUAAUUGCCAUGUCUCCGAACGCGUAGGAAGCGACGGUUCGUCGAUUCGUCGAGCGGGUGCGACGUUCCGGCUGAAACAAGUGCUAGAAGGUCCGUUUUGGCCCGAGGAGCCGAGGCGACGUGCGAAGACCACGAAGACAAGCUUUCUAACCUUUCGGCAUUACCAAAAGGUGGGGGAGUGCCAUCCCGAAGCAGUCGGGCUACUCUUUAUGUCUAAGUGCUAAGUUGACCUAAUUGCAUAUUGUGAUAUUGCAUUAUAGGGUGCUAAAUGUAAUUGUUACAUAUUCUUGCAUGCUAAUAGAAUAGUGUAGAGUUGAGUUGCUUAACACCUAAAUCUAGUAUGCAUGAGAUUAACGUCAAAUGACUUGAGACCCUAUAAUGAAGUGAUAGUUGAUAGGAAGUGAACCUGCUUAUGUGAAUGAGAAUUUAGUAUGGUAUAACUAAUGUUUGAGAACAACAAACUUGACGAGUGGCAUCUAGUUAACAAACUUGACGAGUGGCAUCUAGUUAAUGUUGAACUUAGGAGAGAACUAGUUCCCAAGUGAUGUUGUCUAGAGUGGUAGGGUAUCCUCAGUGACGGGGAUUUGACCAUACUUAUAUGUCUGUUCAAAGCUUGGUAUGGUCGCUCCACACAAGCAGUGCACUCCGGAGUCGUCACAUGAUAGGGAUAGCCGUUUGGUUCCCGAGGGAUAGCCGUUUGGGUCCCGCAGACAGUCUUGGGCGAGUGAGCUGAUCCUCCCCAGGUGAGUUGGGUGAGUGAGUUGAUCCUCACCCAUGAGUUGAGAUUGGGCUGUCGUACCUAUGUUGAGAGUCGGGCGAGUGAGCGGAUCCUCCCCGUUGUGUUUAGAUUGUGAGUCGGGCGAGUGAGCGGAUCCUCCCCGUUGUGUUUAGAUUGUGAGUCGGGCGAGUGAGCGGAUCCUCCCCGUUGUGUUUAGAGUGCGAGUCGGUGAGUGAGCGGAUCCUCACGUAUGUGACUGAGUAGACUAGCAUAGUAGUAUGAGAUAGGCUACCUAUUAUGUUGCAGUUUAUACAUGUAUUUUUGUUGAAAGCAUAGUAUCAUGAGAUAGGUUGCACAUUAUUAUGUAGUUCAUGCAUUCAUAGCAUUGGAUUGAGGCAUAGUUGGAUAUUAGCAUCGCUUUACAUUAUGCUUUAUCGUUAUUGCUUUCAUAUAUAUCUAUCUAUCUUUCCGUCUUCGUCUUCGUCUUCCUAUGCCUCCUUAGACCUAGUGGGGAGAUUGGCGGAGUCGGCGGCCGAACCCACUGGGAACUAUAUUCAUAUAGUUCUCACCCCGCGUGGUUUGGGGUACAGGUACACACGAGAGAGCUCCGGCCGAGGACCGCGGCAAGGGCUUAGCGCCCUAGUGUUGGUAGUAGUUACUUUCCUACUUGCAUUAGAGCUACCUAUACCUUUUGAGAGUAGAUGAUGUAUAGGUGUGAGGCUAUUUUGGAAAUUGUAAGCUUUAAGUUCAUGAUGUAUUUUGGAAGCUUUAAUUGUAAUUAAAUGUAUCAAAGUUGAAUGGAUGUAAUAGCUAGUUAUUUCUCUCUUUUAUUCACUUGUUCACUACUUGUGAUGCUUGCUCUUUAUAUGUUUGGCACUGGUUGUGCUCUCGCUAUUGUUGGAUUGUGUAUGUUAUCAAGUUGUUGUCCUGGGCACUUGUGUACACAAUCUCGUUGCUUAGCCGUGGGCGGACAGGGGAAGUGCUGUCCGUUCGGCGUCUGUCCGACGCGCCCGAACCGGCCAAAGUGGUAGCGGUUUCGGGGCGUGACAGUUAUGGUAUCAGAGCGAGUUAAGAGCAAGCAAAGAGAGAGUCUAGGACUGACCUAGGAGACCCUAGGACGGUAAACCGUAAGGUUAUAGGUGUGUGAGUGGAACGUGAACUUAUGACAGCGGCGGAAGUUAAUUAAUUGGGUCGAAGUUGGUGUUGAGACUCUAGUAGUUGCUAGAGACGAUUCAAGUAGUACUAGUUCUUGACUUAAGGUGGUUGUGUUGGCGGCCGACAACACGACGCCGAGAGUCAAGGAUGAGUACGCUUGUGAACUUCCGCCUGAUUUGUGUUGUUGAGUCAUUUUAUCGCGUAAUUGCGAGAGGUUGUUGGGUUGAGGUGAUUAACCGAUUUAUUGCGUUUCAGGAGCUAAUGUCCCCGAGACGCUACGCACGUAGAUCCGUUCCGGCACCGCCCCCUGAGGUGCCAAAGCCUCCUGGGGCGCCAGGGCCAGCUGGGCCUAGUGAGGUGCAGGAAUUGCCGGCGCAGGUGACCGCACUAGCUGGUCAAGUUGGGCGGCUCCAGGAUUUGAUGGAGCGGCAGAUAGCAGCAGUGGCUGCGAUGGCGGCUGGAGGUCGUGACCCGCCCGCACCCUCGGCUCGCGUCCCUAAUGCGACUGAGAGUGAGGGUGUUCCAGCGGCGCCGGUGGCGGCGCAACCCCCGCCGGCAAGUGUUCCUCCAGCGGCAUCGAGUUCUGCGACACUCGGUGCGGCGGCCGAGGAGAUACAGCGAGAGCGUGGCUACACGGCUCUCACAAGGUUUACAAAGUUCCACCCGCCUACGUUCGAUGGAGAAGUGAUAGAUCCUUGGACGGUGGAGACAUGGUUGGCCUCGAUGGAGACCCUGUUCGAGGANUCAUAAAAUGAAAAUGCAUGCAUAUUCAUGCUAGAUAGAUUAAUUGUGAAUUUUAGAAUGCUUAAAAUACGCACGUUAUGUAUAAUGCAUUUUCGAACCUCUAUGUAGUAGAGAGCUUGCAUGUGAGACUUGUGCAUGGGUUUAGCAUUCUAAUUGGGACUUGGAAUCAUGCUUCUUGUAGUAGUUAUGACAAAUAUAAUGUGCCUUGGAUAUAAACCUCAUUGGGACUAGGAGAAUAUUUUGGGCCAUAAAGUGGCUUUAGAUUUGAAUAUCUUGUGAGGUAGGAAGCUAAUGUUGUAAUGCGGCGUCGGGCUCGAACUAUGACUGAGCCUAGCAAGUAAUGCCAUAGAGAGGCAUUAGACUCGAGCGAUAUAUAAAUUGCAUGUGCAUGUUAAUAUUAUGGAAAUUAUGUUAAGUUGGUUGUUACAUCGAAAUCAUAUGCUAGUGGAUAGAUGCAUGUUUAUACUUAUACGCAUUGUGGGAUCCAGGCUAGGCACAUAUUAGCAAUGUGAGAUCAUGCUUGGGAGCACCGUGCAUUAACCUAGAACGGGUAUAUUAAGCUAAUGUCAUAAAGAGGCAUUAGGCUUAGGUUUGGUAUAGUAAGCUAAUGUCAUAAAGAGGCAUUAGGCUUGUGAUACGUAUGGACUUAGUCAAGCUAAGGUCACAUGAGACAUUGAAUUAUUGAACGGUUAAACCUUCACUUGAGGCAUAAACUAGACACUAGGGUUACUAGUGUGCAUUUCCAUGUUAGAGACAUGAUGACUGUUGAGUUGCAUUUCCAUGUUGGAGACAUGACGAUUGGACUAUUGAGGUCUUGACCAUGCUUGCUUGCCAUUUGUGCUCAUUCGCACAUGCUUGUGAGGGUUGCUCCCCACAAGCCGGCACUCCGGAGUUAGCCUACGCGACAUAUGCUCGCUCGUGCGGUAUUGAAAAGCCUACGGGGUCGAGUAGGACAGACACAUUCCAAGAGCAGGAAUGUUGGGCUACCACAGGCACUUAGGCGGCACAAGCCGGACUACACCCUUGUAGAUCCUGAAUGAGAUUGAACCAGAAUACUAAACAACAAGUUGACAAUCACUACUAGAUAGGUUAUAGUAGUUGGAUUUUCUUGACAUGCUUGGCGUAGGGUUUGACUUUUGGGAUAUUUAGUGUACUUGACAUUAUCGCUUAUUACAUUGUAGUACACCUUGCUGCCAUGAUAGUACAUACUAGAUAUGUAGUGGGCUCUGGAAUAUAUAUCACACUUUAUAGCAUUACUUGUUACAUCAUGAUACAUUGUUUAAGUUUUGGGCAUAUUGGAUCAUGUAGAGUAGAUGUACUCCAUGUUGACAUUCAGAAUACUUGUGGCAUAGUAGAGUAGCAUUUUAAUUUCAUGCUUCAAUUACUGUUGAUAUUUNNNNNNNNNNNNUGGGUGAUCCAGAUAGGUCCGUAUUCAUAAAGUUCCUUACUUAUCAUUGGUCACGAUUACGUAGAUUAUGAUACGGACGUUUCCUUACAGUCACCUAUAUACAUAAGUAGUUAUAUAUCAUACGUACGUACGAACAAGAAAUGGUAGGGAAACAGAAAGACAUGGGUUAGAAUGGCCAAUUGAUACAAUUGGGGUUAUCGAGUGGUAAGGUAAAGGGUAGAUGGCCCCCUCCGAAAUUCGUGUUGGCGGGCUCCCUAGCAGCUGCCCCAUGAAGGGGCAACCACAGAUGUGAAGCUUCAUGUGGCGAACUCCUCCUCGCUGGAGGAGUUCAGAUUCAGGUGCACUCGGAGCUAGGCUAGGAGAUCAACUCCUAUGUUUCGGUGAUCAAUGUUACGGUGAAGAUAUUAUCCAAAGGAUGGAUAAACAAGUACAGUGAAAGACCAGUAAAAGCAGUUACCGUUAGAACAGAGAUAUCAGUUACAGUGGAAACAAAUGAUACCAGUUCAGGUUCAGAGUGUAAGUGUGUAGAGAGCCCAAGUUAGUAUGUACAGGUAAAGCCAAGAACAAGUUAGUGAUAUAGGUAGAUGUAUUCUUCGUAUUAUAACUUCAAGAUCAGAGAUCAGUGUACAUUCUAAAGGGAUGAUACGUACUUACCGAUAUAUUAUUUUACGAGUUGUUUUCACUUUGUCUGUAUCUUCCCUUAGGUUGCUAAGGCCGCACGUGGGGGGUGGAGAUUAUUAGCACACCCACACCUUACACUGCUGGGGGCUUGAAAUGCUUUCGGCUAAGGCGCGGGAUAUUGGUUUUAUCACGGUAUAAUCCGGAAAACAUGUACUUGAUAUAAUAUUGUAAAAGCAUUACAGUUUGCCUCAACAGGGUGCGCAAAUCCCGUGGGGGUUAAUCCAAAGAUGUGCCAGUUAAGCAGGGGCUUUUUAGGAUCCCGUUUUCGGGGUUAAGGGUUCGGGAUUGUUACGGUAAAUCCCAAAGAGAACCUAACUAGAGUAACAAUUCGUUUUCUACCGAAUCUUAGUAGGUUCUUCGUAGGAUGAUUCCAAAGAUUUGGAAACCUUAGUUGGGAUCCCGAAGAUUGGGUUGAAAGUUCCUAAGUGGUACUCUCGUGGAACUCGAGAGUACACAUGGUACCGUAGGUACCGAGUUUUCUCGGAGAUUUCAGAGAUUCCUCGUGUUUCGAGGUUUGGGAAUUCGGUUUUAGGUUUUGGAUCUCCUUUUGAACGUUCUUGAGUGGAGAUCAGGUUCGAGGUGGUUCUGAGAAGAACAACCUCUCGAGGAUCUUGGAGGUUUUGUGGUUUAGGUGGAAGAAGAGGUUUAAGAAGAAGAAGAAGAGGUUCAAGAUCUCCUCAAGAUCUCUCUCUUUCUCUCUUUUACUCUCUCCUCCUCUCUUUACCGACACCCUCUCUCUCCUACCGGGUAUAUUUCACAACAUUGUUAACGUGAAUUCGGGGAGGUGAAUAAAGGGUACUAGACGGGUCUGACCCGUAAAAAGCGGAAGCCCCUGGCCAGAGGUGCUGGUCCCUGGCCAAGGGCUUGCACCCCAAAAGUCCUGAAUCGGUUUAAAAGCCCAAAAAGUCGACGACGCAUCACUCCCUGUCCAGACGGAGAGGUCCUGGCCAGAGGGCUCCUGGCCAGAGUGGUGGUCCCUGGCCUACGGAGUCCUAAAGGACCGUCCGAUGCGCGUGCCCCUGGCCAGAGAGGAAGUCCCUGGCCAGGGGCUCUCGAGCUUUAGACCCUGAAUCGGUCUAAAAGUCUAAACGAGAGAGCCCAAGGAAAUCGAAGUAAAUACCUGAGAUUACGUGGAUCCCAGGUACGAUUGAGCGAGGUGAGGCCCAAGGUGAGUAAAGCUGCCUUGAGCCGUGCUAAAUGCUCCCUGCACCAUACAAUGUGGCUCGGAGAGGGCCUCACCUUCCGAGACUUUCUUUUGUAUUUUGUCCCCCGCACUCUUGAUAUUUAAUAUCAAGGGUCACCCGUUAAUGACUGGACGUAAGUCGGCGAGGUCGGAUGCCGAACCCACUGGGAACUUCGUUGUAGUUCUCACACCACUAACCCUACAGGUCCAAGCACGAGCGGGGCGGCGGAGGACCGAGGCAACGGUAUAGCGCCGUAGAUAGCGGCCACCGGGACUUUUCCUAUUUUGUAGCCAUUUCCCUUUAAUAUAUGCAUCAACUUUAUUUUGUUGAGUUAGAAAGUUGUAAAGUUGAAAACAAUAUGUAAUUGGUGAAUGGCUAAGUGUAAAGAAUUAUGAACGAAAGCAUGAAAUGUAACAAUUUAGUUUCCUUGUAUUUGGUGCAAAAGCAAUCAAGUAUUAUUUAUGGGUAAAUAUAUUAGCUUAGAGCUUUCGCUUCUGUUGUUGCUUGCCCUCGUGCAAGCCUUGUAUAAAUGCUAAUCUCAUUGUUUGAUUGCUUUACUAUACAUGGUUUAGAGCCUUGGACGGACAGGGGAGGCUCUGUCCGUUCAGCGUCUGUUGACGUGACCCGAACCCGACCAAAUUGGCGGGGAUUGGGGCGUGACACUCGGGAUCGCGGGAAAGGUUUCGCCUCGAGUUAGCUAUCGAGGGACUUGGUGAUAGGUGGUCCACCUCUCUUUUGUUUUCUUUUGUAGAGGUUAUGAGAGUUUUGUACCUGGUUAUAGAGACCACCCUAUUUUUGUAUCUUGAGAUUUAUGAUGUAUCAGUUUACUUUAUGCUUUAGUAGUAUGAUUUUCUUUUGAUUCUACCUGAUGUUAGAACCUAGCUAUAUACUUGCUCUGAUAUCUCUAGUUGCAGAUCUUCUCAUUCUUUAUUCUUCCGCUUUUGUGUAGACGCCUUAUAUGUGUAAACAUAUGGCGGGUCUGGGCGCGCACCGGGCAGGCCUAUGCCGUGUCCCGGGGCGUGACAGAUUAAUUUGGUAUCAGAGCCUAGGGUUGAGUCUUAGUGGACCUAGCGAACCUUAGGCCGGUUGGACUAUAGGAAUUAGACUCGUGAGAGACGAAGGCUAUUUAAUUUAUGAGCGAAAGUAUCAUGAUUGGGUUUCCUUGAUAACUCCAAAAUGUUGGAGUUGAAUCGAAGUGUAUGGCUUCUAACUUCGUGGAGGGUUACGUUGGCGGCCGACGACGUAACAUCAGGAGUUAGUAGUUGGGACACUUCUUUACUUUCGCAUGAUUUGGAGUGUGGUUAUUUGAGCGGGGUUGCGAUAGCGUGGGUUAUAUUAACUUGCGCUUUUAUGAUGUUGUAGUGUUGAUGCCGACUACACGCUCUAAGUCUGUUAGAGCGGAAGAUGCGGCGACUUUUGAGGAAGCGGAGACAUCCGCUACCUCCCGAUCCGGUGAGGUCCGUGAGUUGAGGAGCCAACUUGCCGCCCUCACCGAUUUGGUGACGCAGCAGGCGGCGGCGGCCCAGCAGCAGGCGGACACGGCACGACGGCAGGAGGCACGGAUGCAGCGCCUGGAGGACCUUCUAUUACAGCAGGCAGCUGCUAGGGAGGCUCAGGUCUCGGUACUACCCGCGCCAGUGGAGACAGUUGCACCCGGGGGGGGUCGUCCCCUGUAUUCGACACUUCGCAGACGACACUUACGGUAGCCCAUCGGGAGGAGGUAUUGGCAGCACCACCAGCUCAGUUGCCUGUGGCAGCGGCGACUUUUCCCUUGAUGGUUGAAAGAGCGGAGCGGCAGCGGCUCAUGGAUCGCCUCGAUGAGUUCAGGAGGUGCGAUCCCAGGAUCUUUGAUGGAGAGAAAGCCGACCACCGGAUCGUUGAGAAGUGGUUGAUGCAUGNGGUAUCAGAGCCUAGGGUUGAGUCUUAGUGGACCUAGCGAACCUUAGGCCGGUUGGACUAUAGGAAUUAGACUCGUGAGAGACGAGGUCUAUUUGAUUUAUGAGCGAAAGUAUCAUGAUUGGGUUUCUUUGAUAACUCCAAAAAGGUUGGAGUUCGAUCGAAGUGUAUGGCUUCUAACUUCGCGGAGGGUUACGUUGGCGGCCGACAACGUAACAUCGGGAGUUAGUAGUUGGGACACUUCCUUACUUUCGCAUGAUUUGGGGUAUUAGCAUUUGAGCGGGGUUGCGAUAGCGUGGGUUGUGUUAACUUGCGCUUUCAUGUUGUUGUAGUGUCGAUGCCGACUACACGCUCUAAGUCUGUUGGAGCGGACGAUGCGGCAACUUUUGAGGAAGCGGAGACAUUCGCUACCUCCGGAUCCGGUGAGGUCCGUGAGUUGAGGAGCCAGCUUGCGGCCUGUCACGCCCGGGUACCAGCGGAAGCAUAUCCGGCACGUGCACAGACCCGCCAUACACCUGCAGUAUAUAAGGCGUCUACAAGAAGCAAGUCGAUAGGAAGUAAAACAAGAGAGUCCUAUCCUGAUAUCAGAGCAAAGUACAAGACGAUAUACCACGAGUAUCCAAUCCGAGUCAAUAUACAAAGAGUAUACAAUCCACAAUCUCAGCAAAAAGGAGAAGUAACACCACUACAAUCUCAACCCGAAAGUAAAAAUACAACAGAGGGUAUACAAAAAGAAUAGGCACAACGGUGGUCUCUCUAUACAUAGGGACAUCACCCUCGGCUGAAGUCCGAGUAACAAGGUGAUGACUAGCACGCUCCUAGUAGUCCCUAGCUAGGCGCGACUCCCUUGCCACGAUCCCUAGCCUCUCCUGUAACAGGCUCUGUAAAAACAACCACCAAAAGGGCGUGAGAACUAUAAACAAUAGUUCCCAGUGGGUAAGCCGCCAGCCUCGGCGAAUUACACCACUAGGCUCAUGAUGUACUAAAUGGAAAUAAAAGCAGUAAUUUGCAUGAUAUACUUUCAAUGCUAACAACUAAAGAACAUAUAAUCAUAGUCUCAACAGUAAUGAAUCAACUGAUUAAUAGAAGCAUAGCAACUACUAUAAGCAUGAACAAAAGCAUAAAUGUGUAAGUAACUACUGUACACUGUAACUGGUAAUCAUUCAUUACUGUCCAAUAUCCUUUAGCACUUUCCUUUCAUUCACAGGGAUCUACUCAAGGUAGUCCAGCUUGCGCCGCGCCUAAUGGCCCCGUGGUAGUAUACACUCCCCACGGCAAUCCACUUCGGCACCCAAUCCCGCACGGGCGAGCAACUGUCGCGUAGGCCAACUCCGGAGUGCCGGCUUGUAGGGAGCUACCCUCACAAGCGUGUGCGAAUGAGCACGAUGGCAAGCAAGCAAAGUUCACUGUCCACAUGUCUCAAUUCUCAUGUUUUCAUUUGCAAUGUUCUCGCUCUCGAUCCUUUGAUCGACAUUUCAGUAUAACAAAUAUUAACAACAACUAGAAUCCACUAGUUUAGUAAGCAUGCAGGAGUAAUGCUACUUUACAUAUGGCAUUAGAAUCUUUCACUAUCAUGGCACUAUCAACAUAGGCACAAGCAUGUCAUAGUUCUCUACUUUAGAGUCAAGAGAAUGUUAUUGUUCUCUACUUGUAAUCAAGCAAGUAAAAAGAGAAUGUCAUUGUUCUCUACGUUUCAUGAGCAUAAUAACGUGUCAUUGUUAUUCAACUAAACCAAACAGGAAUAUGAAUACUUUCAGGCGUGAGGAUUCUCUACUUCAUAGAGAUUCUAUGUCAAUAUAGUAAAUGUUAUGAUGACGAAUUCUCGAGCCCUUUAGCUAUCACAUAAGCACACAACUAACGCAUUUCUAUAAUACAUAUAGAACAUAGAGGAGCUUCACUUGCUCUGGUUAGGUCCGACCCACCUAGUACUAGGCUCCAAAUAGUCCCAAGGAUCAACUCCACAAGUCUCCAAUCCUGCUGAACACAAGCAACAACAUCGCGUCAAAACGACGACCGGAAUAUCCGACUUUGGCCCAAAUUAUCCUUAAUACAAGGUAAUAACUUGAAUCCCUGCUUAGGGCUAGUUUAAUACCUCAAGAUAUGUCUCCAAGAGUUCCCACAAGUCAGCUAACGACGAUCCAAGGUUCGUUCGCACUCUCGCUGCGAACAACAACGAGACGGCAUCAAUAUCAUCAUAUAUUAGCAAAUAUGGUCGAAAUCUUGCGAAUUCAGUUUUCUAACUGAAAUUCCUGCGUACCUCAAGUUAGAACACCUUCUGAACCAACCUCCCAAGUCACCGAAUAAGCUCAAAUAAUAUCGGAAACCUGCUGCGAAGAAGUGAUCCCAAACUGCAUCAAGUAGCGGUAAUUACUCGCGUUUAAUUCCAAAUUAGCUUCAUAAUGAACUAAUUAUUGCUACUAAGCUUCAACAUGGCUUAUCCCUGAUCUAAGGGGGUUCAUUCACAGCUAAUUAACUCAUAAAUACAUGCUGAAAUCUCAGUUUAAAGCACAGCCAAGAGCAAAAAUCCGAAAUCGCUACUCAAAUCGACGAAUAGAACGUCGAUAACGACAAAAGUGAGUCGAUUACCUUCUUAAGUUUCCAACCAGUGACCUGCUGAUCCAGGGCUGCGAAAACCUGUCCAAAACACUCCCUCACACGUCCAUGUAGGCUCUGCAACACUCCCAAACAGCGAAGGGCGAGCUCGGCGACGACAACGGCGCAAAACGGCGACUUUUCUCUAGAGAGAGAAAAACCCUAGAGAGAGAGAAAGAGAAAAAUGGGAGAACCCUUCUCUGGACUCCAGACCCUUCCACAGUACUCCUGGAGUCGUGCUGGAGGUUAUAGAUAGGGAUCAAAAUGUGAAAAGACCAAAAUAGCCUUGCUGGCCCGAAUUGCCACUGUGUACCGGUACACCAUUGCGGCUGUACCGGUACAGCAAGCAGAAAAGGCUGAUUUUCGCCAGUUCAAUGCACUUUCUCACUUUUCGCAUUCCAAACAUCCUCUAACUUAUCCAAACACUUGUUCUAACCUUUUAGAAGAUGUAGGAGUGAUCCACACACCAUUCCACAUACUCGAACUCCGCAAUUUGCAAAAGUUCAGUGUAUUACACGGCCCUCACUGACUUUGUGACGCAGCAAACAGCGGCGGUUCGGCAGCAGGCGGAUACGGCACGCCGGCAGGAGGCACGGAUGCAGCGCCUGGAGGAUCUUCUAUUGCAGCAGGCAGCUGUCAGGGAGGCUCAGGUCCCGGUACUACCCGCGCCAGUUGAGACAGUUGCGCCCGGGGGGUCGUCCCCUGUACUCGACACUCCGCAGACGACACUUGCGGUAGCACCUCGGGAGAAGGUAUUCGCAGCACCAACAGCUCAGGUGCCUGUAGCAGUAGCGACUUUUCCCUUCUUGGUUGAAAGAGUGGAGCGGCAGCGGCUCAUGAAUCGCCUCGACGAGUUCAGGAAGUGCGAUCCUAGGAUCUUUGAUGGAGAGAACGCCGACCACUGGAUUGUUGAAAGGUGGUUGAUGCACAUGGAAAAGUUAUUCCGCGACACCUUCGUGGAUAAGAGAGACAGAGUUUGGCUCGCCACUCACUACUUGGACGGUGAGGCCUAUAGCUGGUGGGUGGGUAUCCAGGAUAAUCCCAACAUCGAUUUAGCAGCGAUCUCUUGGAAGAAGUUUAAGGAGCUCUUAUUGGAACACUACUUCCUCGUCCGUGUUAAGAGGAAGAUGGAGCAGGAUCUGCGCGAGAUGCGCCAGGGGGAUUGGACCGUGGCCGAGUACGAGAGGGAGUUCUCUCGGCUUCUACACUACGCGCCCUUUGUCGUGUGGGACGACGAGGAUAAGGCCCGCAUCUUCGAGCGAGGACUUCGGCCGUCAAUUUUUCGGUUGGUGCAACCCUCCAACCCUCGGACUUACCAAGAUGUGGUGAACCGCGCGCUCAUCGUGGAAAGCUGCGCGGCAGACUUACAGGAACGUCGGAAAGGCGCAAACAAAGGAAAUGGCAAGAGACCCGUGACUGAGGGUGCGAGUCAGACGCACUCUGGGAGGCCGUCGAGACAUUCCAGGAACCAGAGCCAGUCGAGAGGACGUGGCUCAUCAGCAGCACGGCAUGGAGGAUCCGAGCGUCGUAAGACUCUGAGCUGCGUGAUUUGCGGUGGCCGUCAUUACCCGCAGCAGUGCUCACAGAGGCAGGGCAGGUGCUAUUCGUGUGGCCAGGGGGGUCACUUCCGGUUAGACUGUCCGAGAGGUUUGGUAUCAGCGCCAUCUUCAGCACCGGCACCAGUAUUACCGAGAACCAGCCAGGGGACGCCUUUUGCUCACUAUCAGGCCGGGAGGCCACUUGUCCAGAGACAGACGGAGGGGUCACGGUAGGCCCCGAGUGGGCGCAUGUAUGCAGCCCAGGUGGAGGAGGCAGCAGUGGCCGAGUUUGUGAUUACAGGUAUCAGCUCCUUUGUGGCAUUCGAGUUGUGCAUUGUUUGUUACUGGUGCAUGGCAUCUAUGAUCGGCUAUUCGCCGAGUUGCAUGGCAUUUCGUUGGUUCGCUGUUUGUGACAUUGAGUAACCCCUUGAGCUAGGCGGUUGAUUUACGGGUUGCGGGUAGCAUGUUUUGUUAUGCUUGUAGAUCUCACGAGGAUUGCGUUAGUUACAUUCCUGGAUCGGCUAUUUGCCGUAUGGUGCUUGGAGACGACCGUGCUUGGACCAUUUGGGGACUGUGGAGCCUGGGCCCGUUGGGUAGGCGCAGUCGGCUGUGUGUGACAGCGGCCCGGUACCUAUGGGUAGGGCAGAGUUUUGGUCGGGACGGUAGUCCGAGCGUAGACCCUAGAGCGUUGGAAGCCACGUGUUGGAUCGUGAGAUCGAGGACAUGCCGAGUGUGUAGUUACCCAACCCGAGGAUUUGUUAGCGUUGAACUUUUCGACGCAUGUUGGAUGAUCAGUUGAGCGGGUGUGUCGUUUCGAGCACCCUACCACGUGAGAUGGUUUUGUGUGCCAACAAUAGAUUGACCUUCCUUGAUGUGGAGUUGUUGUGGGUACUUGGUACCCUUGGAUUGCGAGCUGAUUUGACUCGCCUUGGGGACUUUGAGCACAAAAUAGUGCGAUUUGAGGGUUUACUUUCGCUAGUUGCGUUGAUUGUCUCCCUUACCUAAAAUUGGGUGAGCGUUGGAGAGGAUUUGGGGCCUAAUUGGCCAUUAGUUUUUGGUGAUCAAGGAUCCUCGUAAUGAAGAAUGUCUUUGAUCGGUUGUUGUGCCCCCGACCGAGACACAAAUCGUGAACUCGAAUUGGCGGGGAGGUACUAUGGUUGGUGUUUUGUUUCGUGACGCAGCACUCUCACUUGUUCUGGGACCGGUUGGGCUGUUUUGACUGUAUGUCGACUCUCGUGAUUCAAAUUGAACCACGAUUGGAGGUUUGGACCGUUGACAUCCAGAAUACUUGUGGCAUAGUAGAGUAGCAUUUUAAUUUCAUGCUUCAAUUACUGUUGAUAUUUCCUGUUAUCAUUAUUUGCUCGUUUUGGGCCUAGUGGUGCAAUUUGGUGCAGGUCAGUAAUUGCCCACUGGGAACUAUAAUUUAUAGUUCUCACGCCCCCUGUUUUAUAUUUUCUUUCAGAGCCUUCCACUCCGGGAGAGGCUCGGGAUUGCGGGAAAGGUUUCGCCUCGAGUUAGCUAUCGAGGGACUUGGUGUUAGAUGGCCCACCUCUCUUUUGUUUUCUUUUGGAGAGGUUGUGAGAGUUUUGUACCUGGUUAUAGAGACCACCCUAUUUUUGUAUCUUGAGAUUUUUGAUGUAUCAGUUUACUUUAUGCUUUAGUAGUAUGAUUUUCUUUUGAUUCUACCUGAUGUUAGAACCUAGCUAUAUACUUGCUCUGAUAUCUCUAGUUGUAGAUCUUCUCAUGCUUUACUCUUCUGCUUUUGUGUAGACGCCUUAUAUGUGUAGACAUAUGGCGGGUCUCGGCGCGCACCGGGCGGGCCUAUGCCAGGUCCCGGGGCGUGACAGAUCAAAACCAUGGUUUGGUCUAGGGGUGAGGCUUGAAGGUAAGCUCCACCUUCUCUCAUGGUGGAACCCUAAGUAGGGUUUUAAUAAGGCUAAGAAUGAUUUAGAUGGACUCUUUAGAGUAUAAUGAGGCUACUUUUACUUCCCAAUGAGAUCAAACCCUAGGUUUGAUGAUGCUAUGGAGCUAGGGCACCCUAAUUGGGGCUUUUGCUCACGAGGGUUCUAAAGUGCAAUUGACCCUCUAGAAACCUAAUUGGGGGUAUUUCCGACACGUUGGUGCACUCGGAAAAACAUUACGAAAAGCCAAUGUGAAGAUAUGGGCAAAAUGACCUAAUUUGGCUUCGUUUUGCCGCAGGUGAAGAACGAGGUCUAAAAAUUCCAAGAAAAACAUCGGAGCACCUGUAAGGUACCGGACUUCUAAAAUCAUGAAGUUACGGUGUACAUUUGGUUUGAAAGCCAUUUGAAUGGUUCUGGUGAGGUUACGAUGGAAUGCAAUAUACCGGAUUUUUAAAUAUAAAAAUGAAAAUAAAUAAAAAUAGUAUAAGAUACUAUUUUUAUUGGAUUUAGAGGAGUAAAACAUAAGUCAGAAGUGACUUGUGCUGAAAUCGGAAUGAAAACAGAAGAUCUAGAAUUUUCUGUUGGAAACGGGACAGAUAAAUUAGCGGAAAAUGCACAGUCUCAGAAAAUUAUAAAAAUUGGAGGAUAAGUCAGAAAUAUUUUUAUGAGAUUAGAUUUAAAGUUUCAUAUUUUUCUGACACCCGUAGAGUGAGAAAUAAAAUCCGACAGCUAUCUGAUAAAGAUUACAGUUCGGUACAAUUUUCAGUGACCAAACGGGGUCAAAACUGAAAACUUAAGAUAUAUUCUUACUCAGUACGUUAAACCGAAGCUACCUGUCAAAUUUGAGCCCAAACGGACAUUUAGAAGGACUCCAACUGUUCCGAACUGCUAAAACUGCCUGGAAUGAAUAGUGUUUUGAGGGUGUUAAUUAAAGAAGCCUUUUGCUUCGUCCUCAGCCGACCACACCCAUGGCCACACACACACGCACGCAUGGAGGGGGGGGAGAAACCCUCAUUUCUCUCUCUAAAGAUCUCUCUCAUCUCUCCAAAUCUCUCGCUCAAAUUCGCGGCGUUGGUAGAGAAGAUGCUUGCGAACGCAUUAAUUGGAGGCGACGGAUCGAGCUUUCGUGCGCCCGUUGGAGCGGCGUAUUUUCGUCGCGGCGUUCACAUUGAGGUAAGCUUUUGGGAUUUGGCUUAAUCCUUAAUGCUUAGUGUUCUAAUAGCCUCUAAUGAGCUUUGUUAGCAUGUUGAUCCAUUUAAUUUGGAUUAUUUUUAGGUUAAUUGCAUAUUAGGGCUCCGAAUGGGAUUUUGUAAAAUAUAAGGGUUUGAUCUAAUUUGACCGUCCGUAAACCUAAUUGCUAGGUAAACGAACGCGUUGGCGAAGUCGGUUCGGCGAUUCGUCGAGCCGGUGCGAAGUUAUUAAAGAAACGGACGUUUAGGCUUCGUUUUCGCCUGGAGGGCCGAGGCGACAUCGUAAACCCAUGAAAACGGAUUUGAAACACCGUGGCACAUAACCGAAGACCUUUAAUUUUCGGAUCGUGGAUUAGAGGCCGUCCGGGUGGUCGCGCAAGAGAUCGGGCCAAACCGGAUUACGGGUGCCGCGGGAGGCCGAUUGCAAGUGUCGACAAGUAAUCAGAAAGCGAUUCGAGGUGGGUUGUGCUUACCGAAGCGACUAGGUCGCCCUUUAUGUUUAAGAAACAUACGAAUUCACAUUGAUGCAUAUAGUUGUAUUGGUAGGCUUACAUGAUAAUAUGAAUGCUUGAAACAUAUUAUGUAGUUGAUAUUACCUACCAAUGAGAUGAAAUGUAUAAUGAAUUAAGUGGUAAAAGAAUGCAUGAGAUGCUAAAUAUAGACUACUUUGGAUGAUGAUUAAAUGUAUGUUGACAUAUCAUACAAUGUGCAUGACGACAUGUUGUGAAUUAACAUAUUGUGGAUUAUGUUAAAUAGAAACAUAUACAUGAUGACAUAUAUUGCAUAUGAUAGAAGAAUUAUACAUGUUGCCAUAUUAGGAAACUUAUGGAUGAAUUAAUCAUGUUGAAUCUUGUCGAUUAGUAGAAAUUUGACAUGGACAAACCAAGAACACCGAGUGCAUAUAACUGUAGGUAUUUUUCCACUCCCAAGAAUUUGAAAUCCUAGGAUAGAUGAAACCCUUAGGAGUAAAUGCCUUAUGGAUAAGAAUAUAAUAAACCUAAUACUCUCAUAUUGAGAGUGUAGAGGUUAUCAGAUAUUACCCUAUUGUAGACAACCUCACUGAAGAUCGGAUUGGAUAUUUGAACUCUAGUAUAUACGGAGCAUCCCCUCACUUGGGAUGAGGAUUGGAUGGAGGGAGUGCGUUGGAACCCUAUUGUAGGCGUAUCCUCACUUGAGAGAAAGAUCUAGCUCAAGAUCUGAGUAUCUGGGAUGGUAUAGCCAUCAAAAUCCGCUCAAACAUGGAGGGAUUGUCGUCCUAGGUAUUCCCGAGUGUCGCGCGACUGAGACACUUUGGAGUCCGCAACUCCACAGUGGAGGUCCGCAACGGUCCCAUAGCUUGGUGCACUUGAGCUCCCUCCACUUUGGAUGAAAGGUGAGUUAUUGCAUGGACCCUAGCUUACGCUACAGAUUGGUCAAAAGAACAUUGAACAAUGCCAUGAACAUAUUAUUCUAUACAUGGAUCGAAUUUGUAGCAUGAAGUAAAUCCUUUACUAUUUGAUGCAUGAUGAGUAUUAGUUGCAUCCCAGAUGAGUGGAUUAGGUGCCGAGUCAUAUGUAGACUUUCUUCCAUUGGAGCCUACGGCUUUGUGCGGUAGUCUCCCGACAUAUGAUUGACUCAAGACCGAGUCGAGUGGUAUUAGCUUCAUGAAACAGUUAAAACCUAUGACGAAUUUGUAAUUGACAGAACUAACGAUAAGCGAAAACUUAAAUGAAGUCAAUUAAGGUGAACUCCGGCAUGAACCGAUAAAAUAGUAUCAGAUUGAACACAAAUCAGUUGUUGCAAUCCAUUGCAAUAAACUUGCAUGAAUAUCAUAUUUGCUUUGGAGCACAAACAGUAGAUCAAUACUUGCAAUAAUAUAUCUGUUGGAUACUCUGUUGGCACUAACAGCUUGCAGGGCAAUCCUUUUAGGCCGGCUAUUAGUCGAGCGUUUCCACUUGGUGAUCGCCGGGACUCCACUAGAACUAGAGUUGUUCUCACCCAACGUUUUUCCAGCCGUUGUACCAGUUGCGCAAACAACAUGACGUACGCGGCGGCAGGAAGGCGAGUCGCGUAGCUCAAAUAGGCGCCCUAUCCCCAAAACCCCCCGAGACGAAGAUAAGGUACCUCCGAGCGUCCCCGGCAUAAUCGUAAGGGAUAGAAGGAAAAGAAAAGAAAGUAGCAACUUUAAAUAAAUUGUUCGACAUUAAUUGUAGUAUGGAUAGAAAAUUCAUGUAAUAACAUCCCUAAUGUGAUGUAAAUGAAUCUAAUGUAAAGCUUGUAAUAACAUACAGGAUGUUUACUCGUGAUACUUCCUAUGAAUCUUCGCUUGAAUACUGUCUCUUCUGUCGUUUUGAACUCUUGUACAUUGUAUUGUAUGGCGACGCCUAGGAACGUACAGGGACACUCUGCCGUUUCGGCGUGCUGUCGGGCCGCCCUGCGACCCCAAAUAGGCGUGUAUCGUGAGUCGUACAGCACCUACGAGCUGGUGGUGCCUAUUCAAAAAAUCAUGAACCACUUCUAUAGUCCUAAUGGGUCAUUCAUUCAAAUCAUACUUUACAUACAUUGUUUGCACUGCAUUAAUGUAAAGUAAAGAAAAGUAAAUUGUUGUGGCAUUAUGUGAUUACAUCUGCUCUAAAUGAUGGUUGAAACAUAUAGAAUGUUGAACCUCUAUAUGUAUGCAUGAGAGGACAAUGAGCACCACAAGUGAAGGCAAAAGAAACAAAGUACACUAUGCUAGAUCGAGUGCAUUUGAUAAUUAAAGUAAAGAAAUAUAGUUAGCUCGUGGGGCAGAGAAUCAAUGUGAUGUAAAGAUAAUGACAAUGGCUAAAGUUAAUACAAAGUGUGGCAUCAAGAAUGAAGAAUGAAAGAAUAAUGCAAAGUGGGGCAAAAAGAACAUGUAAAGAGCAAAGAACAAUGAUUGCUAGAGUUAGCAACAUAAAGUGAUGUAAAGGACACUAGAGUUAGUGUAAUGACCUGAUUGAACUUAUAAUCCUUAGAGUUAAGGAUUCGAUCAUACUUGCUAUGAGUUCCGUGCUUGAGGGCGGUCGCACCCCCUCAAGCGAUGCGCUCCGGAGUUUUUGCAUCACGGGUUGGAGUAAACCCGAGGACGGUCCUAGCGGGUGAGUUUCUGCGAUGAUGGACUUAAUGUGAACCAAGUUUAAUAAGGUGAAACCCCCGGGUUAGCCGUGCGAUUAAAGAACAAAGAACAAAGAACAAAGAGCAAAGAACAAAGAAUAAAGAGUAAAGAACAAAGCCCUUGCAUAAUCUGCAUAACUAUGUUGAGCAUAUUCCUUGCUUUAUUGUUUAGGCAUAUUAGCAUCAUGUUGUAGAUUGGUUACUAUAUUUCAGCUUAUCCUUUCUAUUAUGCUUGAGUUAGUCCUAGUGGGAAAGUCGGUGAUGUUGGGGCCGAACCCGCUGGAAACUUUGUUGUAGUUCUCACCCCACUAUUUCCACAUAGCCGGGACCGAGUGAGCCGGCGAGCGACCGAGGUAAAGGUAUCGCGCCUUAGACAGAGGCCACCAGAGUUGAGCUUGGUUUAUAUUUUGUUAGUAGAAUACACUAUGUUCAUCUUUUGUAUUUGGUGACUAAUGAUGUAAAGAAAAGAAUGUAAAGCUUAUUGUGAGGUAAAUGUGAUGUAAAAAGAAAUGAUGCAAGCGAUGUAAUGUAAUGAAAGGCAAAGAAUCAUGAAUGUAAAGGGAUACAUGUAUGUGAUCAAAGUGAAUCAUAUUACUUGUGUAGAUGUUUAGUUCCUUUCUCUCACUUAUGGCUACCGCUUACCCUCGUGUAAGCUGUGUUUGUAUGUUUCCGCUAGCGCACUUCUUAUGUGAAAAUGUACAUGUGAUGAGCCUUGGGCGGAUAGGGGAAAACUCUGUCCGUUCGGCGUCUGUUGACGUGCUCGCACCGGCCCCAAAUUGGUAUCGGUCGAGGGGCGUGACAGAUAUUAUGGUAUCAGAGCGCCCAAGCGUGAAAGAAUAGGAAUGGACCUAGAGACCUAUAGGAUUGGAAGACCUUAGGGGCCUAGGAAACAUGAGUGACGUGAAAUUAAAGUUAGCGAAAGCAUAUGAUUGGGUUAAGUUGGGACGUCUCUAAUGUGAUUAGAGGCUAGGUUUAAUUAUCAUUCGUUCGUUAUUUCUCAUGUUAUGUCGGGCGGCCGACGACAUGACACUUGAGGCAAGGAUGAAUGUGUAUGUUGCUUUCGCCGGAUGGGGUAUGGUCAAGUAAUGUCGGUUAUGUGGCUAAUGCGAGUUGCUUCUUUUCAGGAAGCAAUGGCACCUCGACGUCGAUCGCAGACAAGGUCGAUGCCGGAGGAGCCGAGCGUAGAGCCUGAGCGACCCGGAGCGAGUGGCGACGAAGAGCUUAAGGAGCAAAUGGCCGCGCUCAUUGGAGCAGUGCGGCAACAGGCGCAGUCUAUUCAUAGCCAAGGGGAGCAGAUUCGGCGGCUCCAGGAGACCUUGGAGCGUCAGCAAGCAGCGGCGGCCCAGGCGAGUGUCGAGCAUGCUACACCCCCUGUGGUAGUGCCGAGUGUUGUUGUGGGAGCAGCGGAGCCAGUUGCGGCUGUACCAGUCACGGCGGUGCCGGCCGGAUCGGGAACCUCGAAUCCCGAUGGUGCGGCAGUCGAUGCGGAGCGAGAGCGCAUGUUGGCGGCACUUAUUUAGUUCCAGAAGUUCAACCCACCUACCUUUGAGGGUGGAAUGGUGGAGCCGACAGUUGUGGAGUCGUGGAUCGACUCGAUGGAGACCCUAUUCGAGGACUUUAAUACCUCAGAGAAGGAUAAGGUGUAUCUCGCCACCCAUUGCCUUGAAAAAGCGGCGAAGGUGUGGUGGAAGCGAGUGAAGCGGGAUCGUCCUACCGAUCUUCCGCUUAUGCUAUGGGAAGAGUUCAAGAGAGCAGUCUUCGCGAACUACUUCUCCGACACGGUGAAGAGGAAGUUGCAGGAAAAGUUCCGCAAGCUGCGACAGGGUGAUCGAUCGGUGGGGGAGUACGAGCAAGAAUUCUCCCACAUUAUUGACUGCGUUCCCGACGUUGUUCGUGAUGAUCGUGACCGGGCGGAUUGGUUCUUGCAAGAACUCCAGCCUCGAAUUUAUGAGAAGGUGCAAAUCCUAAAGUUGUCGACCUUUGUAGAGGUCUUCGAUAGAGCGUUGUGGGCGGAGCAUGGUAGUGCCCAUGUACGUGAGGAACGGGAGGCCCUAGCCGAGUCGAAGGAUAAGGGCAAAAAGCGAACGGCGGGUAGUGCCGGGGGCCGGUCAAGUGCGAAGAAACCCCCUCGGUAUCCCCAACGCAGUCGAGGAGUUGGAGACCACCUCGAUGUGUUGUUUGUGGUGGAGAGCAUAAGGUGUUGGCUUGCCCGCAGAGCGAUGGCAAAUGUUUCAAGUGUGGCCAACCGGGACAUCGUAUCCGGGAGUGCCCGACAUGGUCGUCUUCUGCGCCGACAGUGGCAUUAGCACUGUCUACCCCGAGACAGCUUGCGGAGUUACUACCAGCGAUGUUGGCUGGGCGCACAUCAUCACCGCGUCAGCCGGAGGGAUCGAGAGCGCCUAGCGGCCGAGUCUUUGCCGCUCAGGUGGAGGAGGAGCAACAGCCUGCCGCACCCGACGAUGUCGUGGCAGGUAUAAUUAUGAUUAAUGGCACUAGAGCUAGAACAUUGUUCGAUACUGGUGCAUCACGAUCAUUUGUAGGCUCAAAGUUUGCAAAGGCACAUGGCAUAGAAAUGACACAUAAUGAUAAUUACUGGUGGGUGAAUGGUCCCGAGCACUCGUUUCGCGUUUAUGAUGAGUGCUUGGAGGUUCCGGUGCAGGUUGGCGACUGGAUCAUGCCAAUAGACCUACUGGUGCUAGACCGGAUGUGGGGCUUCGAUGUUAUUUUGGGGACCAAUUGGCUCUCCAAAUACUAUGCGGUCAUAGAUUGUGAAAGUAAGGUUAUCACUUUUCGUGAGCCUAACCAAAAGGAAUUCGUGUACCGGGCAUGCAAAGGUGCGCGUUUCGCGACGACUAUAUCGUCAGUGAGGGCUAAGAGAAUGAUCAAAGGAGGAUGUAAGGCCUAUUUGGCAACCAUGGUUGAUGGCCGUAGGGAGCACCCAGAUCUUGGAAGUAUCCGGAUUGCGUGCGAGUUUUCGGAUGUAUUUCCGGCGGAGUUACCAGGAUUGCCACAGGACCGGGAAGUUGAGUUCGUUAUUGAUUUAAUUCCCGGGGCGGCGCUAGUUUCGAAGGCUCCGUAUAGAAUGGCACCGGUGGAGUUGGUAAAGCUGAAAGGACAAUUACAAGACUUGCUCGAUAAAGGCUUCAUGAAGCCGAGCGUGUCUCCGUGGGGAGCUCCGGUGCUAUUUGUGAAGAAAAAGAAUGGCACACUUCGACUCUGCGUAGAUUAUCGCGAGUUGAACAAAGUGACGAUAAAGAACAAGUACCCGUUGCCGAGGAUUGACGAUUUAUUCGAUCAGUUGCAAGAGUCCAAGGUGUAUUCAAAGAUUGAUCUCCAGUCAGGGUAUCAUCAACUAAAGAUAAGGCUGAAGGAUGUGCACAAAACGGCGUACCGUACGCGGUAUGGCCAUUAUGAAUUCACAGUAAUGCCGUUUGGGCUUACUAAUGCCCCGGCAGCAUUUAUGGACCUAAUGAAUCGAGUCUUCAGGCCAUUGUUGGACCGGUGCGUCGUGGUGUUUAUAGACGACGUAUUGGUCUACUCGAAAAGCGAGGAGGAGCACGAAGAGCAUUUGAGAGCUGUGUUGCAGAUACUCAGGCAAGAGAAGCUCUAUACUAAGUUAAAUAAAUGUGAGUUCUGGUUGAAGGAAGUCACAUUUUUGGGCCACGUGAUAUCGGGCGACGGAGUGUCGGUAGACCCGAAGAAAGUAGAGGCAGUAAACGAUUGGCCUCGCCCGACGAAUGUAGCGGAGGUCCGCAGUUUUCUUGGACUUGCGGGCUACUACCGGCGGUUCGUGGAGAGGUUCGCCAAAAUAACCACUCCACUAACGCGCCUUACGCAUAAAGGAGUAAAGUAUGUUUGGAACGACGAUUGCGAUCGGAGCUUCGAGGAGUUAAAGAACAGGUUGACGUCGACCCCGGUUCUUGCUUUGCCGACUCCGGGGGAGAUAUUUGUAGUGUAUAGUGAUGCCUCUUACGUUAGUCUUGGGUGUGUACUAAUGCAAAAUGGGCGGGUCAUUGCUUAUGCCUCGCGCCAAUUAAAGAGUUAUGAGAAAAACUACCCGGUUCACAACCUUGAGUUAGCCGCGGUGAUCUUCGCGUUGAAGCUUUGGAGGCAUUACUUGUAUGGUGAGCAUUGUGAGAUCUACACUGAUCAUAAAAGUCUAAAGUACUUGUUCACCCAGAAAGAGUUCAAUAUGCGACAGCGGCGGUGGUUAGAGUUGUUGAAGGACUACGAUGUCACUAUACUGUACCACCCCGGGAAAGCCAAUGUUGUAGCCGAUGCGUUGAGUAGAAAGUCGGCGGAUAAUUUAGCGACGGCAAUCACGCCUCAACCGCUAUUGCACAAGGAAAUGCAACGUCUUGGGUUGGAAGUAGUAGCGCUGGGAGUGCCGGCCGUUCUUACUGCAUUGAUCGUGCAACGGACCCUGUUCGAGAGGAUUAAAGAACUUUAAGCUUCGGAUCCUUAUCUCCAAAAGGUUCGAAGUGAAGUUAAAAAUGGCAAUGCCGAAGACUUUGGUGUUGGAGCCGAGGGCGCACUUCGAUUUAGAAAUCGAUGGUGUGUGCCUAAGGAUGAUGAGUUGAGAAGGGCGAUUAUGCAAGAGGCGCACCAAUCCCCUUAUAGCAUACACCCAAGUGGCACUAAAAUGUAUAAGGACUUGAGAGAGCACUAUUGGUGGCCGGGUAUGAAAAGAGAUAUUGGGGAGUUCGUGGCGCAGUGUCUAACGUGCCAACAAGUUAAAGCAGAGCGCUGAUUUUCGGCGGAAAAGCUACAAAGUCUAUCAAUACCCGUUUGGAAAUAGGAAGAUAUAGCGAUGGACUUUAUUACUCGUUUGCCUUGGUCUCAAGGCGGACACGAUGCGAUAUGGGUGAUAGUGGAUCGAUUGACAAAGUCGGCACACUUUUUGCCGAUACACACUACGUGGUCGGGAGACAAGCUAGCGCAAGUUUAUCUCGACGAGACUGUGAGACUUUAUGGGGUUCCAGUGUCGAUUGUGUCAAAUCGAGACCACAGGUUCACAUCUCAUUUCUGGAAGAGUUUGCAAGAUGCGUUGGGCACACGGCUCGACUUCAGUACAGCGUUCCAUCCUCAGACUGACGGACAGUCGGAGCGGACGAUACAGAUCCUUGAGGAUUUACUUCGAGCGUGUGUACUCGAUUAUAAAGGCGGUUGGAAUGAUUUCUUGCCGAUGGCGGAGUUUGCGUAUAAUAACAGUUACCAAGAAAGUAUCGCGAUGGCUCCGUUUGAAGCCUUGUAUGGACGCAAGUGUCUUUCUCCUAUCCAUUGGAGCGACGUGGGCGAGAGAGCGGCCCUUGGCCCAGAUGUGGUACGGGAGACGGAAAAAAAGGUUCGUCUUGCUCGUCAACGAUUAGCGGCGGCGCAAUCUCGGCAAAAGAGCUAUGCCGACAAGCGAAGAAAGGAUUUAGAGUUUGCGGUUGGAGACCGUGUGUUUUUUAGAGUGUCGCCGAUGCGAGAAGUAAAGCAGUUUGGGGUCCGCGGGAAACUAAGUCCCCGUUAUGUCGGACCAUUUGAGAUAUUGGAGCGUGUGGGUGCGGUAGCGUACAAGCUCGCACUACCACCAAGACUCGCGGGAGUUCACAAUGUAUUCCAUGUGUCAAACCUUCAGAAGUAUAUUCGCAACUCGACACAUGUGUUAGAAUAUGAGCCCGUGGAGUUACGCGAAGAUAUUUCUUAUGAGCAGUACCCCGUAUGCAUACUCGAUCGAGAGGAACGAAGGCUGCGGAGUCGCAGAAUUCCUUAUGUGAAAGUCCAAUAGAGCAACCAUGCGGUGCGAGAAGCCACUUGGGAGCUCGAGGAAACGAUACGGCGGGAUUAUCCGCAUUUAUUCGAGUCAACGAGUUAAGGUAUGGUUAAUUUCGAGGACAAAAUUAUUUUAAGGGGUGGAGAAUGUAAUAUACCGAAAAGCUUCGGCAAAUAAAUAUCGAACUUUAGUCAAAUUGACCAAAGUGCGAGGAUGGUACACUUCGAAAAGUUCGGAGGUGUUAAAAUGAGUAAAAGUGUGUUAUGGAAGGUUUUCGAGAGCUAAGAGGUCAAAAUUCUGCAAACUGCAGAAUUUUAGCUCUCGGGGACCGGUCCCUGGUGGGAGAGACCGGUCCCCGAACGCGUGAGAAAUGAGACAGCCAAAAAUUUGGCUAAGUCCCAGAGAAGUAGCUCUUGGGAACCGGUCCCUGCCUGAGAGACCGGUCCCCCGGAGAUCGGUUCCCUCAAAGAGAGACCGGUCGCACUGCGCGCGGCAGCUCUGGCUGCGCUGGGAUGAGCUUCGGGAACCGGUCCCUGGUCGGGAGGAUCGGUCCCCGCAUGCGAAAUCUGCCCAGUCCAGGCAGUUGAAUAAGAUGAAAGUUGAGGGGUUGGGCUACAAUUUUGCAACCCAUAGAGAUAUGUAUGAGGGGUAUUGAGGUAUUUCUCUCAUUCUCACCCUCUCAUCCCCUCUCAUCUCUCUUUCUCUCUCAAGAAGGAAAAGAAGGAGAAGAAGAAGACAAAGGAAAAGAAAGAAAGGAAGGAGAAGAAGAAGGUAGAGAACAAGAAGAAGAGUUGAAGCAACUCUCUCCUCUCCUCCUCUAGCUUGGAAAAGGAAAACUUACAAGGUAAGCUUUGAACCCUAAUCGUGGUAGAACCCAAACUAGGGUUUGGAUUAGGUUAGAAAUGGUUUUUAUGGAACCUCUUGAGUAUUUGAAGCUUUCUUUUUGCUUUUUUAGAGAUCAAAACCAUGGUUUGGUCUAGGGGUGAGGCUUGAAGGUGAGCUCCACCUCCUCUCAUGGUGGAACCCUAAGUAGGGUUUUAAUAAGGCUAAGAAUGAUUUAGAUGGACUCUUUAGAGUAUAAUGAGGCUACUUUUGCUUCCCAAUGAGAUCAAACCCUAGGUUUGAUGAUGCUAUGGAGCUAGGGCACCCUAAUUGGGGCUUUUGCUCACGAGGGUUCUAAAGUGAAAUUGACCCUCUAGAAACCUAAUUGGGGGUAUUUCCGACACGUUGGUGCGCUCGAAAAAACGUUACGAAAAGCCAAUAUGAAGAUAUGGGCAAAAUGACCUAAUUUGGCUUCGUUUUGCCGCAGGAGAAGAACGAGAGUCUAAAAAUCCCAAGAAAAUCAUCGGAGCACCUAACUAAACCUACGAGGUGGGCGGUGCUAUCCAAACUCAUUGAACUUCCUUUUAUGCCUAAUGUGUCAUUCAAUUGAGCAUAUAUUACAUACAUUGUUGCAUGCAUUUAGGGUAAAGUAAUGAAAAGAAUGUGAUGUGGCAUGAUUGUGAGUACAUCUUGCUUAAUGAUGGUUGAGAACCUAUAUAAAUGUGAAACCCUAUAUGUAUGCAUGAGAGGAAAUAUGAGCACCCAAGUGAGGCAAAAGAACAGAGUGACACACUAUGACAUAGAUCGAGUGGCAUUUGAUAAUGUAAAGUAAAGAGCACUAUAGUUAGUGUGGGGCAGAGAAUCAAUGUGAUGUAAAGAUAAUGACAAUGGCUAAAGUUAAUACGAAGUGUGGCAUCAAGAAUAAAGAAUGAAAGAAUAAUGCAAAGUGGGGCAAAAAGAACAUGUAAAGAGCAAAGAACAAUGAUUGCUAGAGUUAGCAACAUAAAGUGAUGUAAAGGACACUAGAGUUAGUGUAAUGACCUGAUUGAACUUAUAAUCCUUAGAGUUAAGGAUUCGAUCAUACUUGCUAUGAGUUCCGUGCUUGAGGGCGGUCGCACCCCCUCAAGCGAUGCGCUCCGGAGUUUUUGCAUCACGGGUUGGAGUAAACACGAGGACGGUCCUAGCGGGUGAGUUCCUGCGAUGAUGGACUUAAUGUGAAGCAAGUUUAAUUAGGCGAAACCCCUGGGUUAGCCGUGCGAUUAAAGAACAAAGAACAAAGAACAAAGAACAAAGAACAAAGAAUAAAGAGUAAAGAACAAAGCCCUUGCAUAAUCUGCAUAAUUAUGUUGAGCAUAUUCCUUGCUUUAUUGUUCAGGCAUAUUAGCAUCAUGUUGUAGAUUGGUUACUAUAUUUCAGCUUAUCCUUUCUAUUAUGCCUGAGUUAGUCCUAGUGGAAAAGUCGGUGAUGUUGGGGCCGAACCCACUGGAAACUUUGUUGUAGUUCUCACCCCACUAUUUCCACAUAGCCGGGACCGAGUGAGCCGGCGAGCGACCGAGAUAAAGGUAUCACGCCUUAGACAGAGGCCACCAGAGUUGAGCUUGGUUUACACUUUGUUAGUAGAAUACCCUAUGUUCAUCUUUUAUAUUUGAUGACUAGUGAUGUAAAAAAAAGAAUGUAAAGCUUAUUGUGAGGUAAAUGUGAUGUAAAAAGAAAUGAUGCAAGUGAUGUAAUGUAAUGAAAGGCAAAGAAUCAUGAAUGUAAAGGGAUACAUGUAUGUGAUCAAAGUGAAUCAUAUUACUUGUUUAGAUGUUUAGUUCCUUUCUCUCACUCAUGGCUACCGCUUACCCUCAUGUAAGCCGUGUUUGUAUGUUUCCGCUAGUGCACUUCUUAUGUGAAAAUGUACAUGUGAUGAGCCUUGGGCGGAUAGGGAAAAACUCUGUCCGUUCGGCGUCUGUUGACGUGCUCGCACCGGCCCCAAAUUGGUAUCGGACGCGGGGCGUGACAUAGAAGCUCUCGAACAAGAAGGAGCUUGCUAGAACUUGGGCCAAGGUAUGUUUUUAGCAAAGAUGAGUCUAGGGUUUGGGUUUAGGCCUUGGAUUUUUGGGUUUUGAUCUCUCUACAAGUGAGGAAAUCCUCUAGAGACCUUGAAACCAUGAAAUCCAUGGUUGUCUUGGACUCCUCUCAUAGUGAACAUCUAGGGUUCAUCUUGGAUGCCCUAGAAAUGGUUUGGGAAGGUUCUAACUUAGUUCCUAAUGCGUCAACAAGCUUUCUUUUGCUUGUACAAAAGAUCAAAACCUAGGAUUUAAUAGAUGCUAUACUAGGGCAUCCCAAAGAGGGUUUUUGCCCAAGUUGAGUUUUGAUCUAUUUUAAUCAUGUAGAAACCUAAUUGAGGGUAUUUUAAAUGCGUUGGAAUGCUCGGUUCGACAAUCCGACGAGUGUACGCAAAGUUAUUGACAAAAACGUCAUUUUUCGUACAGAUAGCCGCAGCACGCGGACUAGGACUUCAAAAAUUUCAAAAAAUUCACCGUAGCAUCCUCUCAACCCUCUAAGGUGGGUGGUGCAUUCCAAGGACUUCGAAAAUCCCUUUAUGUCUAAAGCAUCAUGUUUGAACAUAUAUGUAUAUAUUGAGCAUAUUGCAUAGUAGGGUUAAUUGUGAGCUUUAUUGCAUGAUUGUGAAAUUAACUUCGUAUGAAAUACUUGUGAGAAUGUGAGAAUUGUCAACCUAUGUAUGCAUGACAAGUAACAAGAACCUGGAAGGGUUAGUGAACAAACGUGACACAUGGACAUAGAUCUAAUGAGUGGCAUUGAUGAGUCUAGAACACUUAGAAAAUAAGUGUGGCAUUUGGCAUGAGAACAAGAAUAUAGCACUUAGAAAACAAGUGUGGCAUGAGUAUAAGAACUUAGUAGUGUAUAUGACACUAGUGCUAGAAGAGAAUGCAAGAAAAGAAUGAUUGAGACAUUAUGACAUUUCAACCUUUGAGUUAAGGGUCAUUUGAACAUGGUCUUCCUUAAAGUUAAGGAACGGAUUGAACUUGGAAUUCUCAAUGUAGGAUUGAUCGUACUCACCUUUUAGUCCUUGCUCGAGGGUGGUAGCUCCCCCUCGGGCGAUGUGCUCCGGAGUCGAUAUUACUGGGUCGUAGCGGGUAUCUCCCCAGAGGACGGUCCUAUCGGGUUGUAGCGGAUAUCUCCCCGGUUAAAUAGGAUUUUGGGUUGGUGAGUUUGUUGAGGGCGAAACCUACGGGUUAACCAAGAGAUUGGGUAAAGAAAUUGUAAUCUUGCAUUCAUCAUGAAUAUUAUAUCGAGCAUCGCAUUUUAUAUUGUUCAGGCAUAUUAGUUGCAUUUGUUAGUUUGUUACUUUCUUUCUUCGAUUCUAUUAUGCCUGAUUAGACCUAGUGGGAUAGUCGGCGUUGUUGUUUACCGAACCCACUGAGAACUUUGUUGUAGUUCUCACACCCCUAUUUCCACAGAGCUAGGACCGAGCGAGCCGGCAGACGACCGCGGUACGGGCAUCGCGCCCUAGGUAGAGACCGCCCGAGAUGUUCAAUUUCAUAGAUGCACCCUUUGAUAUAUCAUCUUUUGUAUUUGAUGAUUUUAGUAUCAUGAACAUGUUUAAAUGAAUGAUGUAAAGGAUAUUUACUUAAAUGUCAAAAAUUGUAUUUUGGAGAUAUAAGAUGUAAAAAAAAAUGAUGCAAAUUGUAAUUAAUUUCCUAAGUGUAGUCAUUUACUUUCACUAUUGGUUGUAAUUAAUUUUCUAAGUGUAGUCAUUUACUUUCACUAUUGGCUAUUGCUUGCCCACGCGCAAGCCAUUGUGUAUGCUUCCGCUUAUGCAAACCUUAUACUCUAUUGAUACUUGUUGUUGAGCCUUGGGCGGACAGGGGAGGCUCUGUCCGUUCAACGUCUGUUCGACGCUCUCGAACCGGCCAAAAGGAUCGGGCUCGGGGCGUGACAGAUAAGAUAGUAUCAGAGCGUAAAAGAGCCAAAAGUGAAAGUAUAGGAUGGACCUAGAGACCCUUAGGAAUGGAAGACCUUAAGGAUCUAGGAAACGUGAGUGACGUUGAAUAAGUUAUAGCGAAGGCAUGGAUUGGGUCGACGUAAUUAUGUCUCUAAUGCGGUUAGGGACUAAACUUAAGUUGUCAUUUGUUUUCUUUUCCUUGUGUUGUGAUCGGCGGCCGACGACAUGACGCUUUGGAACGAAAAUGAAUACACUUAUAUGCUUUCGCCGGAUUGGGUAUAAUUGAGUAUGUUGUCUAAGUAACUAAUGUGUGUUGCUUCGUUUCAGGAAGCAAUGCCGCCUCGUGGACGACCUAAGUUGCCUCGUGGUCGACUGUGGACGAGGUCUAUGGCCGAGGAGUCAAGUACGGCUCCCGUGCAACCCGGAGCAAGUGGCGACGGGGAGUUUCGGGAGCAGAUGGCCGCGCUUAUUGGCGUAGUGCGGCAGCAGGCGGAAUCCGUUCAGCGCCAGGCAGAAUCCGUUCAGCGCCAAGGGGAGCAAACCCAAAGGCUCCAGGAGGCCUUGGAGCGACAGCAGGCGGCGGCGGCGCCCGUGGAGGCCGUGCACCCUGCGCCCCCUGCAGUGGUACCAAGUGCGGCCGAGGGUGUGGCCGCGGCGGCCAUGCCAGUUAUGAUGGUGCCGGCUGGAUCAGGAACCUCAAAUCCCGAUAGUGCGGCGGAGGAGGCGGAGCGGGAACGCGCGUUGGCGGCUCUCAUUCAGUUUCAGAAGUUCAACCCACCUACCUUCGAAGGGGGAGUGGUGGAACCGGCGGUGGUGGAGUCCUGGAUCGACUCCAUGGAAACACUUUCGAGGAUCUUAAUACCUUGGAGAAGGACAAGGCGUACCUCGCCACACAUUGCCUUUAGAAGGCGGCGAAAGUGUGGUAGAAGCGUGUUAGGCGGGACCGAUCACCCGACCUUCCACCUAUGUUGUAGGAGGAGUUUCGGAGGGCGGUGUUCGCCAACUACUUCCCCGACACGGUGAAGUGGAAGUUGCAAGAGAAAUUCCAUAAGUUGAGGCAAGGAGAUCGCUCGGUGGCUGACUAUGAGCAGGAGUUCUCCCACCUCAUUGACUGCGUCCCGGAUGUUGUUAGGGAUGACCGGGACCGAGCAGACGGGUUCCUACGAGGAUUGCGGCCGGGGAUUCAUAGGGUCGUGCAAAUCCUUAAGCUCACGACCUUUGCGGAGGUCUUUGAUCGGGCGUUGUGGGCGGAGCAUGGCUAUGCCCACGAAUGCGAGGAGCGCGAAUCCGCAGCUGAGGCCAAGGAGAAGAGCAAGAAGCGGACAGCGGGUAGCACCGGGGGCCGACCAAACGCUAAGAAACCCCCUCGGUAUCCCCGACAGCAGUCGAGGGGUUGGAGGCCAUCUCGUUGUGUUAUUUGCGGCGGCAACCAUCAACCGCCUUCAUGCCCGCAGCGGGAUAGGAAAUGCUUCAAGUAUGGCCAACCUGGGCAUUUGUCGCGAGAGUGCCCUAGCUGGGGUUCAUCUGCACCGACCUCGGCAUCAGUUCCUUAUACCCCGAGAUAGCAGGCGGGGUUACCACCGGCUAUGUCAGCUGGACGCUCGUCUUCAUCGCGCCAACCGGAGGCAUUGAGAGCACCGAGUGGGCAAAUUUUUGCCACUCAGGUGGAGGAGGAGCCGAUUCCUGUCCCCGACGACAUUGUGGCAGGUAUUAUCUCGAUCAGAGGCACUAGAGCUAGAGCUUUAUUCGACACUAGUGCAUCGCAUUCAUUCAUAGAUGCAUCAUUCGCUAGGAUUCAUGGCAGUAAGAUUGUGCAUCAUUAUGACUAUUGAACGGUGAAUUCAGUCGAGCAUACUUUUUAUGUUCACGAAGAGUGUGUAGCGUGCCUAGUGCAGAUAGGCGAUUGGGUCAUGCCGAUCGACCUGUUAGUGUUGAAUCAAAUGUGGGGUUUCGACGUGAUCUUGGGGACCAACUAGCUCUCCAAGUAUUAUGCUGUGAUAGAUUGCGAAAGUAAGGUGAUCACGUUUCGUGAGCCUAAUCGAGAGGAGCUAGUGUAUCGGGCAGCUAAAAGCUCGCUCUUCGCGGCGACCGUGUCGGCGGCACGGGCGAGGAAAAUGAUAAGAGGUGGUUGUGAAACCUAUUUGGCCACCGUGGUAGAAGCCCCGAAGGAGCGCCCAGAACUUAGCAGUAUUCGGGUGGCGUGUGAAUUCCCGGAUGUAUUUCCGGCGGAGUUACCGGGUUUGCCACCGGACCGGGAGAUCGAGUUCGUUAUUGACUUGGUACCCAGGGCGGCUCCAAUUUCGAAGGCUCCGUAUAGAAUGGCACCGGCGGAGCUAAAGGAACUUAAGGCACAAUUGCAAGAUCUGCUCAACAAAGGCUUUGUGAGGCCGAGCGCGUCACCCUGGGGAGCUCCGGUGCUGUUCGUUAAGAAGAAGGACGGCACACUUCAAGAGUUGAACAAGGUCACCGUGAAGAAUAAGUACCCGUUGCCGAGGAUUGACGAUUUAUUCGAUCAGCUGCAAGGGUCGAGGGUGUAUUCAAAAAUAGACCUACAGUCGGGGUAUCAUCAGUUGAAGAUACGGCCCNCCGAGGAUGUGCACAAGACGGCGUACCGUACGCGGUAUGGCCAUUAUGAGUUUACGGUGAUGUCGUUUGGGUUUACUAACGCUCCGACGGCGUUCAUGGACUUGAUGAAUAGAGUCUUUCGUCCGCUAUUGGACCGAUGCGUCGUGGUAUUCAUUGACGACGUAUUGAUAUAUUCUUGGACCGAGGAAGAACACGAGGAGCACCUAAGGACCGUGUUGGAAAUACUCCGAAAAGAGAAGUUAUAUGCCAAGUUGAAGAAAUGCGACUUUUGGCUAUCGGAGGUUACUUUUCUUGGUCAUGUAAUUUCGGGCGAUGGUAUCUCGGUGAACCCAAAGAAAGUUGAGGCAAUUAGAGAUUGGCCUCGCCCGACGAGCGUAUCGGAGGUCCGCAGUUUCCUUGGACUAGCGGGCUAUUACCGGCGGUUCGUGGAGGGGUUUGCUAAAAUAACUACUCCACUAACGCGCCUUACACACAAAGGGGUGAAGUAUGUUUGGAGCCCCGAAUGCGAGCGGAGCUUCGAGGAAUUGAAAGAAAGAUUGAACACGACCCCAGUGCUUGCUCUACCGACGCCGGGGGAAACAUUUGUGGUAUAUAGUGAUGCUUCCUAUGUUGGACUCGGGUGUGUCUUGAUGCAAAACGGCCGAGUUAUAGCAUAUGCUUUGCGCCAAUUGAAGAGGUAUGAGAAAAACUAUCCGAUCCACGACCUGGAGUUAGCGGCGGUCAUUUUCGCGCUAAAAUUAUGAAGGCAUUACCUAUACGGGGAACAUUGUGCGAUCUACAUGGAUCACAAAAGCCUUAAAUACCUGUUCACCCAAAAGGAGCUAAAUAUGCGGCAACGGCGAUGGUUAGAGUUGUUGAAAGAUUAUGACGUCGCUAUUCUAUACCACCCCGGGAAAGCAAAUGUGGUGGCCGAUGCACUUAGUAGAAAGUCGGGAAAAAAUUUGGCUUCGGCAAUUACACCACAACCGUUAUUGCAAAAGGAGAUGCAACGGCUUGGCUUGGAAGUAGUGGAGCCAGGAGUGCCAGCUACACUUGCCGCGAUAGUGAUACAACCGACCUUGAUGGAGAGGAUAAAAGAGCUGCAAGCUUCCGAUAAGUAUCUCCAAAAGGUGCACGGUGAAGUUGAUAGCGGUAGUGCCGAUGAUUUUGGCAUCGGGACCAACAGCGCACUCCGGUUUAGAAACCGUUGGUGUGUGCCUAAGAACAAGGACAUCAGUAGGGCGAUUAUACAAGAAACGCAUCAAUCUCCUUAUAGUAUACACCCGGACGGCACCAAAAUGUACCAAGAUUUGAAAUUGCACUAUUGGUGGCCAGGCAUGAAGAAAGACAUUGGGGAGUUUGUUGUGCAAUAUCUUACUUGCCAACAAGUAAAAACGAAGCGGCAAUUUCCGGCGGGAAAGUUGCAAGGUUUACCUAUACCCGUUUGGAAAUGGGAGAAUAUCGCAAUGGACUUCGUGACCUGGUUGCCUCGAUCUCAGGGUGGACACGAUGCAAUUUGGGUGAUAGUAGACUGAGACGAAGUCGGCACAUUUUCUACCGGUUCAUAUUACUUGGUCGGGGGACAAGUUGGCUCAGCUAUAUAUUGACGAGGUUGUGAGACUUCACGGGGUACCGGUGUCUAUUGUAUCAGAUCGGGACCCGAGGUUCACAUCUCAUUUUUGGAAGAGCCUACAGGAGGCCUUAGGCACAUGGCUCGACUUUAGCAUGACAUUUUAUCCUCAAAGUGAUGGUGAAUCGGAGAGGACGAUACAGAUACUUAAGGAUAUGCUCCGAGGUGUGUAUUGGACUACAAGGGCAGUUGGCACAAUCAUCUACCGAUGGCAGAGUUCGCGUACAAUAAUAGUUAUCAAGAAAGUAUCUCGAUGGCGCCAUUCGAGGCCCUUUAUGGAAAGAAAUGUCGCUCUCCAAUCUAUUGGAGCGAUGUGGGCGAGAGAGCUACUCUUGGCCCGGAUGUAGUGCGGGAAGCGAAGGAGAAGGUUCGCCUUGCCCGCCAAAGACUCGCUACGGCGCAAUCCCGGCAAAAGAGCUAUGCCAACAAACGGAGAAAAGACAUAGAGUUUACAGUUGGCGACCAUGUCUUUUUAAAAGUGUCGCCGAUGCGAGGAAUUAGACGGUUUGGGCUCCGGGGGAAGCUAAGUCCCCGGUACCUCGGACCGUUUGAGGUAUUGGAGCGGGUGGGCGCGGUGGCGUACAAGCUAGCAUUACCACCGAGGCUUGCGGGAGUACACGACGUGUUCCAUGUAUUGAAUCUUUGCAAGUACGUUCGUGACCCCGAGCAUGUUCUCUCGUUUGAACCGUCCGAGAUCCAAGAGGAUAUGACCUAUGAGGAGUUCCCGGCAUACAUCAUCGAUCGAGAACUAAGAAAGAUACGAAAUCGCGAGAUUCCGUAUGUUAAGAUUCGUUGGUGCAAUCACGAUGAUCGGAAAGCUACUUGGGAGCUCGAGAGCACAAUGCGGGAGCACUAUCCUCACCUCUCUAACGAGCCGAAUUGAGGUAUGAGUUUAAGUCUCAAUUAAGUAAGUUUCGCGGACGAAACUAAAUUUAAGGGGUGGAGAAUGUAACAUACCGAAAUCUCGGUAAUUAAAUUCGAACCUUGGUCAAAUCGACCAAAGUGCGAGAUUGGUACACUUCGGUGAGGCCGAAGGCGUCGAAUAAUGCAAAAGUGCGUGUCUGGGGACCUUCGAGAGCUUUGGAAAUUAAAAUCUGCAAACUGCAGGUUUUGUGCUCUCAGGGACCGGUCCCUGGUGGGAGAGACCGGUCCCCGAACGCGUAGGCAGCGAGAUGGCCGAGAAAUCGGCUAAGUCCUGGAAAAUCAGCUCUCAGGAAUCAGUCUCUGCGAGGAGAGACCGGUCCCCCAGAGACCAGUCCCAUUGGGGGAGAUCGGUUGCAUCGUGCGCAGCCUGCGCAGACCACGGGAGAAGCUCUCAAGGACCGGUCCCAGGUCGAGGAGACCGGUCCUUCACUGCGAAAAAUGCCCAGUUUGGGCAGUGCACAGAGAAAGAGUUGAGGGGCCUUGUUAUAAUUAUUACAACACAUUAUAUACCCAUCCCCUCUCCCCUUUUCACAGCACACACACACUCCUCUCUCUCCCUCUCAUUUUCUCUCAUUUCUCUCUCUAGAAAGCUAGCCCUAGAGCUUGGAGAAGGUGGAAAAGAGCUUGGAGAAGUGGAUUUUGGUGGCUUUGGUGGUCCUAGAAGCUCUCCAACAAGAAGGAGCUUGUUAGAACUUGGGCCAAGGUAAGUUUUUAGCAAAGAUGAGUCUAGGGUUUGGGUUUAGGCCUUGGAUUUUUGGGUUUUGAUCUCUCUACAAGUGAGGAAAUCCUCUAGAGACCUUGAAACCAUGAAAUCCAUGGUUGUCUUGGACUCCUCUCAUGGUGAACUUCUAGGGUUCACCUUGGAUGCCCUAGAAAUGGUUUGGGAAGGUUCUAACUUAGUUCCUAAUGCUUCAACAAGCUUUCUUUUACUUGUACAAAAGAUCAAAACCUAGGAUUUAAUAGAUGCUAUACUAGGGCAUCCCAAAGAGGGGUUUUGCCCAAGUUGAGUUUUGAUCUAUUUUGAUCAUGUAGAAACCUAAUUGAGGAUAUUUUAAACGUGUUGGAACGCUCGAUUCGAUAAUCCGGUGAGUGUACGCAAAGUUAUUUACAAAAACGUCAUUUUCCAUACAGAUAACCGCAGUACGCGGACUAGGGCUUCAAAAAUUUUAAGAAAUUCACCGUAGCAUCCUCUCAACCUUCUAAGGUGGGUGGUGCAUUCCAAGGACCUCGAAAAUCUCUUUAUGUUUAAAGCGUCAUGUUUGAACAGCAUAUUGCAUAGUAGGGUUAAUUGUGAGCUUUAUUGCAUGAUUGUGAAAUUAACUUCGUAUGAAAUACUUGUGAGAAUGUGAGAAUUGUCAACCUAUGUAUGCAUGACAAGUGACAAGAACCUGGAAGGGUUAGUGAACAAACGUGACACAUGGACAUAGAUCUAAUGAGUGGCAUUGAUGAGUCUAGAACACUUAGAAAACAAGUGUGGCAUUUGGCAUGAGAACAAGAAUAUAGCACUUAGAAAACAAGUGUGGCAUGAGUAUAAGAACUUAGUAGUGUAUAUGACACUAGUGCUAGAAGAGAAUGCAAGAAAAGAAUGAUUGAGACAUUACGACAUUUCAACCUUAGAGUUAAGGGUCAUUUGAACAUGGUCUUCCUUAAAGUUAAGAAACGGAUUGAACUUGGAAUUCUCAAUGUAGGAUUGAUCGUACUCACCUUUUAGUCCUUGCUCGAGGGUGGUAGCUCUCCCUCGGGCGAUGUGCUCCGGAGUCGACAUCACUGGGUCGUAGCGAGUAUCUCCCCAGAGGACGGUCCCAUCGGGUUGUAGCGGGUAUCUCCCCGGUUAAAUAGGAUUUUGGGUUGGUGAGUUUGUUAAGGGCGAAACCUACGGGUUAGCCAAGAGAUUGGAUAAAGAAAUUGUAAUCUUGCAUUCAUCAUGAAUAUUAUAUCGAGCAUCGCAUUUUAUAUUAUUCAGGCAUAUUAGUUGCAUUUGUUAGUUGGUUACUUUCUUUCUUCUAUUCUAUUAUGCCUGAUUAGACCUAGUGGGAUAGUCGACGUGGUUGUUUGCCGAACCCACUGGGAACUUUGUUGUAGUUCUCACACUCCUAUUUCCACAGAGCCGGGACCGAGCGAGCCGGCAGACGACCGCGGUAAGGUCAUCGCGCCCUAGGUAGAGACCGCCCGAGAUGUUCAAUUUCAUAGAUGCAUACCCUUUGAUAUAUCAUCUUUUGUAUUUGAUGAUUUUAGUAUCAUGAACAUGUUUAAAUGAAUGAUGUAAAGGAUAUUUACUUAAAUGUCAAAAGUUGUAUUUUGGAGAUAUGAGAUGUAAAAAAAAUGAUGCAAAUUGUAAUUAAUAUCCUAAGUGUAGUCAUUUACUUUCACUAUUGGCUAUUGCUUGCCCAUGCGUAAGCCAUUGUGUAUGCUUCCGCUUAUGCAAACCUUAUACUCUAUUGAUACUUGUUGUCGAGCCUUGCGCGGACAGAGGAGGCUCUGUCCGUUCGGCGUCUGUUCGACGCUCUCGAACCGGCCAAAAGGAUCAGGCUCGGGGCGUGACAAUUUUGGUACAGAUAGCCGCAGCACGCGGAAUAAGCGUCCAAAAAUCACGAAAAUGGAUCCGAAGCAUCUUGGUAUCAAGAUAAGUAUUGAACAAUUUUCGGAUUUCAGAUUGGUGGCCGUUCGGGUGGUCGCGCGAGAGUUCGGGCUGAACCGGGUCACGGGUGCCGCCGGAGGCCGAUUGCAAGUGACUGCUAGCAAUCGGAGUGCGAAUUGAGGUGGGUUGUGUUUACCGAAGCGACUACGUCGCCUGUAUGUUUAAGAUGAGUAUUUAUCAUUGAUGCAUAUAGUGGUAGCUAAUGAUAGAGUAUGUGAAUGCAUGAAAUGAAUGCUAAAUGGGCUACCAAUGAAUGCACGAUGACAUGGAAUAAAAAUGCUAGAUAAAUGCAUAGGUUAUGCUAGCUGAAUGCAUGAUGCAUGUUAUAAGAAUGCUAAGUGAAAACAUAUUGAUAUGAAAUAAGAAUGCUCAAGUAUACAUGAUAUUAAUGCUAAGUCCAUGUAUAAUAAGCAUGUUAUAGGAAUGCUAAUGUGGAAUGCUAAGUAAAGGACAUAUGUAUACAUAUAUAGAUCUAGUGGCACCGAACCUAGUGUUGAGGACAUAGGUUGAACAAGAGUAAUAUUGAACCUAGUGUUAAUAAAUAUAGGUUGAACAAGUGUGGCAUGUAAACCUAGUGUAAAGAACAUAGGUUGAACAAGUGUGGCAUGUAAACCUAGUGUAAAGAACAUAGGUUGAACAAGUGUGGCAUAGAACCUAGUGUUAUUGAACAUAGGUUGGGUAUGAACCUAGUGUCAUGGACCUAGGAUGGAUAAGAAUGAAUAUAAAUCUAGUGUUAAAGAACAUAGGUUGCAGGAUAAACCUAGAGUUAUAGUAAACCUAGGUUACGUGGUAAAAGCACUAAGCCUAGAGUCAAGUGGACCUAGGGUGGAAAGGACAUUGGACCUAGAUAGGUCGAUGCUAUAGGGUUAAGACCAACCCUCGAGUUAUGUGAAAUGGAUUUUCGGAAUCCCUGAGCUUUUGGAACACCCAAAGUGGUGUUGGGCGUGUGCGACGAUUUCGUCGUCCGGGGUUAACCAUCGUCGUGGCGUAUGUGCGACGAUUUCGCUGCCGGAUGGUUAUGCCGAGUUGUGGAUUAUACCGCCGCUUGACUUUAGCCAUUGUCGUGGCGUAUGUGCGACGAUUUCGCCGCCGGGUGGCUCAGUCAUAGAGUGUGGCAGGUUGUGGUAGGCUGAGGUGCAUGUGAGAGUUCCUUCACCUCGAGCCGACAAAGCGCCGAUUAUCCGCAGUUGAUUGACUCAAGACCGAGUCGAGUGGCAUAGUGGACUAAGGUAAGAGUAACCUUAGAAAAGAAUGGCCGAUGAGUAAGUUAUAGCUAAAGAAUAAAGAAUAACUAAGAAUAAAAAAAGAGUUGCAAGUAGUAAAGAAUGGCUAGCAAUAAAGAAUGAAAACGAUAGAAAGUAAAAUUAUUUAUUCUACUUGCAUAGUUGUAUGGUUUCAUAUUGCAUAUCGCGAGGCAUGACAUGUAGUUCAAUAUCGAGUAAAUGUAUAAAUAUCUGUUUUAUGUUAUUGGACUAACCUGUUGUAGUGCCUCAUUAGACCUAUUGGUUGAGCUUUUUCCUUGGGUGGCUGUACCCACUGGGAACCAUGGAGUUGGUUCUCACACCACGUUGUUUUGGAGUGUUACAGGUACAGACGUGAGCGGCGCGGCGGCGCGAGGCAAGGGUGUAGCUCCGUAGAUAGCGCCCUACCCCAGAGACCAGAGGUAGUAGUACCCGAGUUGGUGGUCUAGCUUGGGGGGUUUAAAGACAAAAAACAAACUUUUAUUAAGUUGUAUCAAAAUUGUAUCAAUCGUGAUUGUAUUUGGAAGUUGAAUGUAAAAGAAAAAUUGUGUUGUAAAAUGCAUCUAAGUUGAAUGUUGUAAUAACUUAGUAGUUUAUGUUUUUGAUACUUCCUUAUGCAAUCUAUGGAAGAGUAUUGUUCCUGGUUGGAACCUCUUGUAUUGUAUUGAUUGCGACGCUUUGGACGUACAGGGGAGACUCUGCCCGUUCAGCGGUCUGAUGGCGUGCCCUAAUCUGACCAAAGAGGCGGGCUCGGGGCGUGACAACGGCUUAGGGGAACGGACGCCUCCGUGCUCCUAAUAGCACACAAGACCGACUCUAUAUAGAGUAGGUCUUGUGUGCUAUUAGGAGCACGGCCUUCGUGCUCCUAAGUCGUUUUCGAUGAUAGAGCUUCCGAAUCGACGAUCGGCUCCGUUAGAAUUGAUCUAGCGUAUUUGAACUAUCUAGAAACUAAUUUUUGUGAUUUCUCGAUAUGAUUUUCCUAGCGAUCGAAAGGGUUCAAAAUCAAUAAUUUUUAAUGGUUGAUGUAUGCCGUUUGCAAAUUUAACAGUGUAGAAGUAUUCAAAUCAGAUGAAAUUUUGAUAGAAAAUUCUUUAUACUAUAUACAGCAAGAUCAAUAUGUUUGAUCAAAAAUUUUAAUACUAUAUCACUAUUUUUUGUGAGAUUAUUCUUUUCAGCCGUUGAUUUUGAGCACUUUCGAUCGUUAGGUAAAUGAUAUCGAAAAGUCACAAAAUUUAUUUUCUAGAUAUUUCAAAUAUGCUAGAUCACGCCUAACGGAGCCAAUCAUCGAUAAAGAAAGUCCAUCAUCGAAAACGGCUUAGGGGCACGGACGCCACCGUGCUCCUAAUAGCACACAAGACCGACUCUAUAUAGAGUAGGCCUUGUGUGCUAUUAGGAGCACGGAGGCCUCCGUGCUCCUAAGCCGUUUUCGAUGAUAGAGCUUCCGAAUCAACGAGCGGCACCGUUAGAAUUGAUCUAGCGUAUUCGAACUAUCUAGAACCUAAUUUUUGUGAACUUUCGGUAUCAUUUUCCUAGCGAUCGAAAGGGUUCAAAAUCAAUCAUUUUUAAUGGUUGAUGUAUGCCGUUUGCAAAUUUAACGGUGUAAAAGUAUUCAAAUCAGAUGAAAUUUUGAUAUAAAAUUCUUUAUACUAUAUACAACAAGAUCAAUAUGUUUUAUCAAAAAUUUUAAAGCUAUAUCACUACUUUUUCGGAGAUUUUUAUUUUCAACCGUUGAUUUUGAGCACUUUCGAUCGUUAGGUAAAUGACAUCGAAAAGUCACAAAAUUUAUUUUCUAGAUACUUCAAAUAUGCUAGAUCAAGCCUAAUGGAGCCGAUCGUCGAUUCAGUAGCUCCAUCAUAAAAAACGGCUUAGGAGCAUGGACGCCUCAGUGCUCCUAAUAGCACACCAGACUGACUCUAUAUAGAGUAGGUCUUGUGUGCUAUUAGGAGCACGGAAGCCUCCGUGCUCCUAGGUUGUUUUCGAUGAUGGAGCUUUCGAAUUGACGAUCGGCUCCGUUAGAAUUGAUCUAGCGUAAUUGAACUAUCUAGAAGCUAAUUUUUGUUAUUUUUCGGUAUCAUUUUCCGAGCGAUCGAAAUGAUUCAAAUCAACAAUUUUUAAUGGUUGAUAUAUGCCGUUUGCAAAUUUAACGGUGUAGAAGUAUUCAAAUCAAAUGAAAUUUUGAUAGAAAAUUCGUUAUACUAUAUACAGCAAGAUCAAUAUUUUUGAUCAAAAAUUUUAAUGCAAUGUCACUACUUUUUGUGAGAUUUUUAUUUUCAGCCGUAGAUUUUGAGCACUUUCGAUCGUUAGGUAAAUAAUAUCGAAAAGUCACAAAAAUUUUUUUCUAGAUAUUUCAAAUAUGCUACAUCAAGCCUAACGGAGUCGAUCGUCGAUUCAGAAGCUCCAUCAUCGAAAACUGCUUGGGAGCACGGACGCCUCCGUGCUCCUAAUAGCACACAAGACCGAGCAGGUCUUUUGUGCUAUUAAGAGCAUGGAAGCCUCUGUGCUCCUAAGUCGUUUUCGAUGAUGGAGCUUCCGAUUCGACGAUCGGCUCCGUUAGAAUUGAUCUAGCGUAUUUGAACUAUCUAGAAACUAAUUUUUGUCAUUUUUCGGUAUCAUUUUCCUAGCGAUCGAAAGGAUUCAAAAUCAACAAUUUUUAAUGGUUGAUGUAUGCCGUUUGCAAAUUUAACGAUGUAGAAAGAUUCAAAUAAGAUGAAAUUUUGAUAGAAAAUUCAUUAUACUAUAUACAGCAAGAUCAAUAUGUUUGAUCAAAAAUUUUAAUGCUAUAUCACAACUUUUUGUGAGAUUUUUAUUUUCAGCCGUUGAUUUUGAUCACUUUCGAUCGUUAGGUAAAUGAUAUCGAAAAGUCACAAAAUUUAUUUUCUAGAUAAUUCAAAUAUGCUAGAUCACGCCUAACGGAGCCGAUCGUCGAUUCAGAAAGUCCAUCAUCGAAAACGGCUUAGUGGCAUGGACACCUCCGUGCUCCUAAUAGCACACAAGGCCGACUCUACAUAGAGUAGGUCUUGUGUGCUAUUAGGAGCACGGAGGCAACCGUGCGCCGAAGUCGUUUUUGAUGAUAGAGCUUCCGAAUCGACGAUCGGCUCCGUUAGAAUCGAUCUAGCGUAUUUGAACUAUCUAGACGCUAAUUUUUGUGAUUUUUCGAUAUCAUUUUCCUAGCGAUCGAAAGGUUUCAAAAUCAACAUUUUUUAUUGGUUGAUGCAUGCCGUUUGCAAAUUUAACAGUGUAGAAGUAUUCAAAUCAGAUGAAAUUUUGAUAAAAAAUUCUUUAUACGAUAUGCAGUAAGAUCAAUAUGUUUGGUCAAAAAUUUUAAUGCUAUAUCACUACUUUUUGUGAGACUUUUAUUUUCAGCCGUUGAUUUUGAGCACUUUCGAUCGUUAGGUAAAUGACAUCGAAAAGUCACAAAAUUUAUUUUCUAGAUACUUCAAAUAUGCUAGAUCACACCUAACGGAGCCGAUUGUCGAUUCAGAAAGUCUAUCAUCGAAAACGGCUUAGGGGCACGGUCGCCUCCGUGCUCCUAAUAGCACACAAGACCGACUCUAUAUAGAGUAGGUCUUGUGUGCUAUUAGGAGCACAGAGGUCUCUGUGCUCCUAAGACGUUUUCGAUGAUAGAGCUUCCGAAUCGACGAUCGGCUCCGUCAGAAUUGAUCUAGCGUAUUUGAACUAUCUAGAGCCUAAUUUUUGUGAUUUUUCGGUAUCAUUUUCCUAGCGAUCGAAAGGGUUCAAAAUCAACAAUUUUUAAUGGUUGAUGUAUGCCGUUUGCAAAUUUAACAGAGUAGAAAUAUUUAAAUCAGAGGAAAUUUUGAUAGAAAAUUCUUUGUACUAUAUACAGCAAGAUCAAUAUGUUUGAUCAAAAAUUUUAAUGCUAUAUCACUACUUUUUGUGAGAUUUUUAUUUUCAGUCGUAGAUUUUGUGCACUUUCGAUCGUUAGGUAAAUGAUAUCGAAAAGUCACAAAAUUUAUUUUCUAGAUACUUUAAAUAUGCUUGAUCAAGCCUGACGGAGCCAAUCGUCGAUUCAGAAGCUCCAUCAUCGAAAACGGCUUAGGAGCACGGACGCCUCCGUGCUCCUAAUAGCACACCAAACUGACUCUAUAUAGAGUAGGUCGAGUGUGCUAUUAGGAGCACGGAAGCCUCCGUGCUCCGAAGUCGUUUUCGAUGAUGAAGCUUCCGAAUCAACGAUCGGCUCCGUUAGAAUUUAUCUAGCGUAUUUGAACUAUCUAGACACUAAUUUUUGUUAUUUUUCGGUUUCAUUUUCUGAGCGAUCGAAAUGAUUCAAAACCAACAAUUUUUAAUGGUUGAUAUAUGCCGUUUGCAAAUUUAACGGUAUAUAAGUAUUCAAAUCAGAUGAAAUUUUGAUAGAAAAUUCGUUGUACUAUAUACAGCAAGAUCAAUAUGUUUGAUCAAAAAUUUUAAUGCAAUAUCACUACUUUUUGUGAGAUUUUUAUUUUCACCCGUAGAUUUUGAGCACUUUCGAUCGUUAGGUAAAUGAUAUCGAAAAGUCACAAAAUUUCUUUUCUAAAUUUCAAAUAUGCUACAUCAAGCCUAACGGAGUCGAUCGUCGAUUCAGAAGCUCCAUCAUCGAAAACGGCUUAUGAGCACGGACGCCUCCGUGCUCCUAAUAGCACACCAGACUAACUCUAUAUAGAGUAGGUCUUGUGUGCUAUUAGGAGCAUGGAAGCCUCCGUGCUUCUAAGUCGUUUUCGAUGAUGGAGCUUCUGAAUCGACGAUCGGCUCCGUUAGAAUUGAUCUAGUGUAUUUGAAUUAUCUAGAAACUAAUUUUUGUUAUUUUUCGGUAUCAUUUUCCGAGAGAUCGAACUAAUUCAAAAUCAACAAUUUUUAAUGGUUCAUAUAUGCCGUUUGCAAAUUUAACGGUGUAGAAGUAUUCAAAUCAGAUGAAAUUUUGGUAGAAAAUUCGUUAUACUAUAUACAGCAAGAUCAAUAUGUUUGAUCAAAAAUUUUAAUGUAAUAUCACUACUUUUUGUGAGAUUUUUAUUUUNNNNNNNNNNNNNNNNNNNNNNNNNCGAGUAGGUCUUUUGUGCUAUUAGGAGCACGGUGGCGUCCGUGCUCCUAAGUCGUUUUCGAUGAUGGAGCUUCCGAAUCGACAAUCGGGUCCGUUAGAAUUGAUGUAGCGUAUUUGAACUAUCUAGAAACUAAUUUUUGCUAUUUUUCGGUAUCAUUUUCCUAGCGAUCGAAAGGAUUCAAAAUUAACAAUUUUUAAUGGUUGAUGUAUGCCGUUUGCAAAUUUAACGGUGUAGAAAGAUUCAAAUAAGAUGAAAUUUUGAUCGAAAAUUCUUUAUACUAUAUACAGCAAGAUCAAUAUGUUUGAUAAAAAAUUUUAAUGCUAUAUCACUACUUUUUGUGAGAUUUUUAUUUUCAGCCGUUGAUUUUGAGCACUUUCGAUCGUGAGGUAAAUAAAAUCGAAAAGUCACAAAAUUUAUUUUCUAGAUACUUCAAAUAUGCUAGAUCACGCCUAACGGAGCCGAUCGUCGAUUCAGAAGCUCCAUCAUCGAAAACAGCUUAGGAGCACGGACGCCUCCGUGCUCCUAACAGCACACAAGACCGAGUAGGUCUUUUGUGCUAUUAGGAGCACGGAAACCUCCGUGCUACUAAGUCGUUUUCGAUGAUGGAGCUUCCGAUUCGACGAUCGGCUCCGUUAAAAUUGAUCUAGCGUAUUUGAACUAUCUAGAAACUAAUUUUUGCUAUUUUUCGGUAUUAUUUUCCUAGCGAUCGAAAGGAUUCAUAAUCAACAAUUUUUAAUGGUUGAUGUAUGCCGUUUGCAAAUUUAACGGUUUAGAAAGAUUCAAAUAAGAUGAAAUUUUGAUAAAAAAUUCUUUAUAAAAUAUACAGCAAGAUCAAUAUGUUUGAUCAAAAAUUUUAAUGCUAUAUCACUACUUUUUGUGAGAUUUUUAUUUUCAGCCGUUGAUUUUGAGCACUUUCGAUCGUUAGGUAAAUGAUAUCGAAAAGUCACAAAAUUUAUUUUCUAGAUACUUCAAAUAUGCUAGAUCACGCCUAACGGAGCCGAUCGUCGAUUAAGAAAGUCUAUCAUCGAAAACUGCUUAGGGGCACGGACGCCUCCGUGCUCCUAAUAGCACACAAGACCGACUCUAUAUAGAGUAGGUCUUGUGUGCUAUUAGGAGCACGGCCUCCGUGCUCCUAAGUCGUUUUCGAUGAUAGAGCUUCCGAAUCGACGAUCGGCUCCGUUAGAAUUGAUCUAGCGUAUUUGAACUAUCUAGAAACUAAUUUUUGUGAUUUUUCGAUAUAAUUUUCCUAGCAAUCGAAAGGGUUCAAAAUCAACAAUUUUUAAUGGUUGAUGUAUGCCGUUUGCAAAUUUAACGGUGUAGAAGUAUUCAAAUCAGAUGAAAUUUUGAUAGAAAAUUCUUUAUACUAUAUACAGCAAGAUCAAUAUGUUUGAUCAAAAAUUUUAAUACUAUAUCACUAUUUUUUGUGAGAUUAUUAUUUUCAGUCGUUGAUUUUGAGCACUUUCGAUCGUUAGGUAAAUGAUAUCGAAAAGUCACAAAAUUUAUUUUCUAGAUACUUCAAAUAUGCUAGAUCAAGCCUAAUGGAGACGAUCGUCGAUUCAGAAGCUCCAUCAUCGAAAACGGCUUAGGAGCACGGAUGCCACCGUGCUCCUAAUAGCACACAAGACCGACUCUAUAUAGAGUAGGCCUUGUGUGCUAUUAGGAGCACGGAGGCCUCCGUGCUCCUAAGCCGUUUUCGAUGAUAGAGCUUCCGAAUCAACGAGCGGCACCGUUAGAAUUGAUCUAGCGUAUUCGAACUAUUUAGAACCUAAUUUUUGUGAACUUUCGGUAUCAUUUUCCUAGCGAUCGAAAGGGUUCAAAAUCAAUCAGUUUUAAUGGUUGAUGUAUGCCGUUUGCAAAUUUAACGGUGUAAAAGUAUUCAAAUCAGAUGAAAUUUUGAUAGAAAAUUUUUUAUACUAUAUACAACAUGAUCAAUAUGUUUUAUCAAAAAUUUUAAAGCUAUAUUACUACUUUUUCGGAGAUUUUUAUUUUCAACCGUUGAUUUUGAGCACUUUCGAUCGUUAGGUAAAUGACAUCGAAAAGUCACAAAAUUUAUUUUCUAGAUACCUCAAAUAUGCUAGAUCUAGCCUAAUGGAGCCGAUCGUCGAUUCAGUAGCUCCAUCAUCAAAAACGGCUUAGGAGCACGCACGCCUCAGUGCUCCUAAUAGCACACACCAGACUGACUCUAUAUAGAGUAGGUCUUGUGUGCUAUUAGGAGCACGGAAGCCUCCGUGCUCCUAGGUUGUUUUCGAUGAUGGAGCUUCCGAAUCGACAAUCGGGUCCGUUAGAAUUGAUCUAACGUAUUUGAACUAUCUAGAAACUAAUUUUUGCUAUUUUUCGGUAUCAUUUUCCUAGCGAUCUAAAGGAUUCAAAAUCAACAAUUUUUAAUGGUUGAUAUAUGCUGUUUGCAAAUUUAAUGGUGUAGAAGUAUUCAAAUCAAAUGAAAUUUUGAUCGAAAAUUCUUUAUACUAUAUACAUCAAGAUCAAUAUGUUUGAUCAAAAAUUUUAAUGCUAUAUCACUACAUUUUGUGAGAUUUUUAUUUUCAGCUAUUGAUUUUGAGCACUUUCGAUCGUUAGGUAAAUGAUAUCGAAAAGUCACAAAAUUUAUUUUUUAGAUAUUUGAAAUAUGCUAGAUUAAGCCUAACGGAGCCGAUCGUCGAUUCAGAAGCUCCAUCAUCGAAAACGGCUUAGGAGCACGGACGCCUCCGUGCUCCUAACAGCACACAAGACCGAGUAGGUCUUUUGUGCUAUUAGGAGCACGGAAGCCUCCAUGCUACUAAGCCGUUUUCGAUGAUGGAGCUUCCGAUUCGACGAUCGGCUCCGUUAGAAUUGAUCUAGCGUAUUUGAACUAUCUAGAAACUAAAUUUUGCUAUUUUUCAGUAUUAUUUUCCUAGCGAUCGAAAGGAUUCAAAAUCAACAAUUUUUAAUGGUUGAUGUAUGCCGUUGGCAAAUUUAACGGUUUAGAAAGAUUCAAAUAAGAUGAAAUUUUGAUAGAAAAUUCUUUAUACUAUAUACAGCAAGAUCAAUAUGUUUGAUCAAAAAUUUUAAUGCUAUAUCACUACUUUUUGUGAGAUUUUUAUUUUCAGCCAUUGAUUUUGAGCACUUUCGAUCGAUAGUUAAAUGAUAUCGAAAAGUCACAAAAUUUAUUUUUUAGAUACUUCAAAUAUACUAGAUCACGCCUAACGGAGUCGAUCGUCGAUUCAGAAAGUCCAUCAUCGAAAACGGCUUAGGGGGACGGACGACUCCGUGCUCCUAAUAGCACACAAGACCGACUCUAUAUAGAGUCGGUCUUGCGUGCUAUUAGGAGCACAGAGGCCUCCGUGCUCCUAAGUCGUUUUUGAUGAUAGAGCUUCCGAAUCGACGAUCGGCUCCGUUAGAAUUGAUCUAGCGUAUUUGAACUAUCUUGAAACUAAUUUUUCUGAUUUUUCGGUAUCAUUUUCCUAGCGAUCGAAAGGGUUCAAAAUCAACAAUUUUUAAUGGUUGAUGUAUCCCGUUUGCAAAUUUAACGGUGUAGAAGUAUUCAAAUCAGAUGAAAUUUUGAUAGAAAAUUCUUUAUACUAUAUACAGUAAGAUCAAUAUGUUUGAUAAAAAUUUUUAAUACUCUAUCACUGCUUUUUGUGAGAUUUUUAUUUCCAGCUGUUGAUUUGAGCACGUUCGAUCGUUAGGUAAAUGAUAUCGAAAAGUCACAAAAUUUAUUUUCUCGAUACUUCAAAUAUGCUAGAUCAAGCCUAACGGAGCCGAUCGUCGAUUCAGAAGCACCCUUAUCGAAAAUGGCUUAGGAGCACGGACGCCUCCAUGCUCCUAGGCCGUUUUCGAUGAUAGAGCUUCCGAAUCGACGAUCGGCCCCGUUAGAAUUGAUCUAACGUAUUUAACCUAUCCGGAAACUAAUUUUUUUGAUUUUUCGGUAUCAUUUUCCUAGCGAUCAUCGAAAAGGUUCAAAAUCAAUAAUUUUUAAUGGUUGAUGUAUGCCGUUUGCAAAUUUAACGGUGUAGAAGUAUUCAAAUCAUAUGAAAUUUUGAUAGAAAAUUCUUUAUACUAUAUACAGCAAGAUCACUAUGUUUGAUCAAAAAUUUUAAUGCUAUAUCACUACUUUUUGUGAGAUUUUUAUUUUCAGUCGUAGAUUUUGAGCACUUUCGAUCGUUAGGUAAAUGAUAUCGAAAAGUCACAAAAUUUAUUUUCUAGAUACUUCAAAUAUGCUAGAUCAGGUGUCACGCCCCGGGACUGGCGGAGGCCCUUCCGGUAGCGUGCCCAGACCAUCGUUAGUUAAUUCGCGAAUUAUUCACGAAUUAUUCGCGAAUUUUUGAAAUACCGAAUUAAACACCCGUUUUCGAAUUUUUGCCAAAAAUUCGGAAUAAUUCGCGGUUUUUUGAGCAAAAAUAAUUAUUCGUGAAUAAAACGGAAUUCGCGAAUAAUUCGGCCCAAAAAAACGGCCCUCUUGCUUGCGACUGUGAGCGGACUUGUGGACCUCGCGGUGGCCCAGGAAAAAGAACCUGUCGCCCAAAAAAAAAAAAAAAAAAAAAAAAAAAAAAGAAAGGAUUUCUGAAAACCAUCGCCCCCCUCCCACGAGGCGACGACUCCCACGCUCCCACCCCCACCCCUCCCAAAAAAAGGGUUUGCCCUAACUUCUCACUCCUGCGGCGGUGCGGCCCUGCCAUCGACCCCUGCGGCGGUCUCCCUCUUCCCUUCCGGCCGCUCGCCGAACGCCAUCGGAAGCCCUCCUCUUCAGAAAUCGAAGAUCGAAGAUCGGGUUCUUCACUCUUCAGAAAUCGAAACCCUCCUCGUCGCCUCUUCCUCUUCCGCUUCCGCUUCCGCUUCCGCUUCCGCUUCCGCUAUCCAACGAUAGAUCAGUAACCGGGUGGUUCUUUACAAACCCAGGUAGGUACGAUUUGAGUUUUUUUCAUUCUUCAAAGAAAAAGUUGGAAGGUUUUAGUCAUCUGAUGGAUACUUGUUUUAUACACAAGUGGCUGAGUGCUUAAUUGAAUGUGUCCAUUCUCUGUUAUGCACAAAGAAGACCCAAACAUAGUGCUAAAUAAAUAAUCUUAAUUAACUUUGGGACCAGGAACUCUUGUAUUAUACCUAAUCAAUUUCAUGAUCUUUGUCGACUCUUGCAAAAGGAAAAUUUUGUUGUGGUCUUUCAUGGACCAUUGACUCACUGGGGUUUCUACUUAAUUUUUGAAACAUAACUUUGGGACCAGGUACUAUUUGAGUUUUCAUUCUUCAAAGCAAAAGUUGGAAGCUUUUACAUUUAAAUAUGGACUAUCUUGAUCUCUUAUUUGCUUAAUUAUUUCUUUAUUUUGAGGCAUAAUAUAGUUUACUUUUUUUUUACUUAAUUAGUUUAAUUUUGUAGCUUUUUAUUCUUAUAUUUUUAAAAAAUAUGAGUAUUUAUGCUAAUAGCAUAAAUCUUGAGAGGAAAAAAAUUUAAUUUAAUUUAAUAGCCGAAUUUUUUAUCCCGAAUUUUUAAUUGGUGAACGUAUAAUAUCCGUAUAAAUCACGUAUCCGAAUAAUUGGCGAAUCCGUUUUUUAGCCGUUUUUUUCAACGAAUUUAAAAAUUAGAAGACGAAUUUUAUCCGAAUUAUACCCGUACCGAAUUUUUGCCGAAUCUGAAUUAACUAACUAUGCUCCCAGCUGCCAGGGGCCGGUCCAGUCCUGGUGAACAACCAAGCCUCCUCUCGUGCAGGCAGGCAGCUAGAGAGGGAGAGGGAGAGGAGAGGGAGAGGGAAUGGAGGUGCGCACCCGAGCCCCCGGGAAGAUCAUACUGUCUGGGGAGCACGCCGUGGUGCACGGCUCCACCGCCGUCGCUGCCGCCAUCGAUCUCUACACCCGCGUCUCCUUCCGCCUCCUCCCUCCCUCAGGUUAGGUUCAGUCGUUUGCCUCUUGUGGUCUGUGGUCCGUGGCCGUCUUCCAUUGUCUAAUUUUCUCCUCUGAUUAUUUCCAGAGGGUGAUGCCGGAUCGGUUGAGCUAGAGCUAAAAGAUACGGGCCUAGCAUUCUCAUGGCCGUCCUCGAGAUUGAAGGAGACGUUCUCAUUCGAGGCGAUCGGACCUCCCCUUUCUCCCACUCCCAGGCCAUGCUCUCCGGAACAUUCGAAGCUGAUAGCCUCUCUUGUUGAGGAGCAGAACAUUCCGGAAGCCAAAAUUUGGCUCCGCUCUGGGAUCCACGCAUUCCUCUAUCUUUACACGUCGAUCCAUGGGUACCGCCAAUCUGUUGCAAUGCUUCUUUUCUUAGCUCGCUUUGUUCGUCCGUUCCUUCGUACUACAUAUACUUCCGCAAGUCAUUUACCUUUUCUUUUCUCAACCUCAUUGGGAGUGUCCAAACAGCUUCAAGCCUGGGAAGGUGGUGAUCAGCUCGGAGCUUCCACUGGGUUCCGGUUUGGGAUCCUCGGCUGCAUUCUGCGUCUCGCUGUCGGGAGCCCUGCUUGCGCUUUCUGAUGCCUUUUCAAUCGACAGACAGACAAAGGGCUGGUUAGAAUUGGAGCUGAGUGAACUUGAGCUGGUGAAUAAAUGGGCAUUUGAAGGGGAAAAGAUCAUUCACGGGAAGCCUUCUGGUAUCGACAACACUGUGAGCACAUUCGGUAUGUAAAUAAUGCUCAACAACUAUUAAGCCUUUGCUGUGUGCAUCAUUUUUUUUUCCUUAUCUUAUUCCAUCUAAUAUACUUUUAUACUGAAUUUAUUUUCUUUUUGUCUUAAAGGGGGUAUUCUUUUCACUGAAUUUUAAUACUCCCGUGGAGCUCUACGUUUCUAUUUGAAAUUGACAAGCUUGUCACCGCGCUUCACUGGCCAGAAGGGUGUAAGGGCCUACGGUCUCUUGCUAGUGAGGACUGUUAUACUCCCAUGGAUAUCCCAUUUCAUUGGGUAUGAGAAAAAUAAAAUUGCCAUUCUAUGAUAAUGUAAAAUGCCUUCCACUAGUUGGCAAUCAUUUAUGAUUUGAUCUCUUUUAGAUAAGCUCGUCUUGUCCACCCGUUAAGAGUUGCGUGGUGACGAUCUUGCCAGUUUGGAUAGAAAAUGUAGAACAUUUCUAAGAUGUCUAUCAUUCUGCUACUUGUGAUUUCUUAUUUCUCUAGGUAGGUAAGUUGUGUAGAGUUACAUCUGACUGCAUAUAUGGCAGGGAGCAUGAUAAAGUUUAGAUCAGGUGAGUUAACUCACAUUAGAUCUAGCACACCUCUCAGAAUGCUUAUUACUAAUACAAAGGUUGGGAGGAACACAAAGGCAUUGGUCGCUGGUGUAUCUGAGAGAGUAUUGAAGCAUCCAGAUGCUAUGGCUGCUGUCUUUAGAGCAGUUGAUUCUAUUAGCAAGGAGCUGUCGGUUAUCAUUGAGUCCCCUACUUCAGAUGACGUAUCUAUCAUUGCAAAGGAAGAGAAGUUAGAAGAGCUAAUGGAGAUGAAUCAAGGCUUACUCCAAUGCAUGGGGGUUAGCCAUGCCUCCAUAGAAACUGUGCUUCGAACAACUUUGAAGUAUAAAUUGGCUUCUAAGCUGACCGGAGCCGGUGGUGGAGGCUGCGUUUUGACUUUGCUACCUACACGUAUCCUUGAUCUAGUUAUCUUAGCCGGCUUAUACCUUUUUUCAAGUAUUAUGCCUAAGAAUCUAUAUUUUAUGCUUGAAUAUGAUGGUUGCGAUUUACUUUCUAAAUUUGUCUUUGGUCAUAUUGCUUACAAUAGCUUCGAUCUACUUUUACAUGAUUUGUUAAACUUUGGCUCAUUAAUUUUAUCAGUAAUUGGAAAUGCUGGUUAGCUAGUUACAAGUAUCCUUGAUCUAGUUACGGCUUAUACCUUUCUUCAACUAUUAUGCGUAAGAAUCUAUAUUUUAUGCUUGAAUAUGAUGGUUGCGAUUUACUUUCUAAAUUUGUCUUUGGUCAUAUUGCUUACAAUAGCUUCGAUCUACUUUUACAUGAUUCUUUAAACUUUGGCUCAUUAAUUUUAUCAGUAACUGGAAAUACUGGUUAGCUAGUUAACUUUUUCUUUGCGUUCCCUUUGUCUUUCGCUCCAAUUUAUCUAUAUCCUUUUUUGUUGAGUAAUAGAUUUUGUCUAGUUUUAUUUUUUGUAACUGUUUGUGAUUAGUACAGCAGCAUAUAAUUUACAAAGUAGACCAAUUAGGUUGGCAUUUCCGAUCAAUUAUAAGUUAACUAAAAAGCAAUAGCGUUUAAAGCAUUAAGAAUAGCUUGGUUUCCCAUAAUCUCUCAUUUGACUAAGCCUUUAAAAAUUAUCAGUUCAUAGAUUAGGUCGUCAAUCCACAUUGGUUAUGUAACGUAUGUGAAACAUAGAGGGUGAGGAUACAGUAUUAGUCAACUUAUCCACAUCGUACUUGAGUAAGCCGACAAAUUAUGUUGAUUCAAGGCCUCAUAACAUAAAAUUACUUUGUCUUGGAUGGGCAAAUGAUGCAGUCUAAAAUUAGGGUUUCAAUUGAUUGAGUUCUUGAUUAUGUUAGCUACUUGAUUUAGUUUGGCAUUAUUUGGGCUUUAUUUUGGUUAGAUUUGUAUUUGGUUAUGUACUCGGUAAUUACUCUUGUAGGUCAAAGUAAGCAAGUACCUAAAUUUGAGUGAUACAUUAGGAUAAGCAUUUGGUAGUUUCUAUUCGAUAAAUGGACCCACCGGCUCUAUUGUUCCUGUUCAUUUAAGAAAUUAAAUUUAGAUUUAGAUUUUCCUCUUUUUUGGUUGCAUUUCCUUUCCUCUUCUACUUUGUCCUCCGCCUGUUGCUUCUCUUUCCUUUCCUUUCCUUUCCCCAUCAAUUUAGUCAUCUGAGAAAUUAAUUGGGACAAGGGUUUUAUUCAUUUGUCUCCUCUUCCUAUUCUCUUCUAAUUUCUACUCUGCCUGUCGGUUCUCAUUCCAAUUUUGCUCUUCUUUUCUUUUUGCUCUCGGCCCCUUCAAUAUUGUUAUUGCUGCGUACUGCAGCCAAUUGCAGCAAACUACUUUCUCCCAACCUUUUACCGUCCCACUGCACUACUGUAGCGCUACAACCAUUGCACUACCGUUCCACAACCAAUUACCGUGUUGUUGAUGUUGUUCUUUUUUUUGUUUUACUUAUGCUGCUAUUUUUUGGUGGUUGUUCUGUGUUUCAAUUUCCCUUACAAUGCAUUGUUUCUAUUGCUGAAUUUUUGGUGCAUAUAGUAGAACCCUAAAUUAAGUUUUCAAUAAUUAUUGCGCCCCUCUUUUAGAAUCCUAGGGCUACGUAAAUUUGGUAUUGGAGCAAGUUCCAUCGUAGUACGUAUGUCGGGAUAACUUUUCCUCUUAUUUUCCAUAUUUUUCUGUUUGAUCACAUUUCUUCUGUCCCUUUUUGCCUAUUCCAUUUUUUUUACAAUGACUAUCAGCGCUGAACUUAACCAACUCUUACAGGCUUGAACCAAAACCUCCAUUUACCAAGAUUUUAAGUGCUCGUCAGCACGGGCCAUAUCCACCGUGCUGUACCGUGCCAACAAGAUACCGGCACGAUACAGACCCCGUACCGAUGGCAUAGCUCAAAACCCUCUAUUCUUUAAAUUAGUAAGUAAUUUCCUCAAUAAAGUUCAAAAUAUGUGAUAAAAAGACAUAAUGAAUAGUUAGAAUAUUUUGUUGCUAAAGAAAAUAAAUAUUUCUAUGUGUCGGCACACAAGAAUUUUUUUUGACCGGCAUGUAUCGACACGGCUUGGCACGCAUCGUGCUAGCAAGUUUCCGGCACGCAUCGACACGGCUUGGCACGCAUCGUGCCAGCAAGUUUCCGGCACGACCCCGUGUCACGGCACUUAAAUCCUUGCCAUUUACCCUCUUAACUUUUUGAUCCCCUAAUCCACCAAUAGAUUCCUCCAACCUUUGUACCUAUUUCUCUCUCCAAAGAAAAACCAUGGCCGUAACCCUUUUACUGAUCUUCCAAGACUGAUAAAUUGUGAAGUUUGACAUUCUGCAAAGCAUAGGAUAAAAAUUAUGAUGUUUUUUCUUGAUUUGGUUUUCCCUCUUGAUGCAUCUUUCAGAUAGUAAAAUAUGAUGGAGAAUCGAAAGAUCUUCUUUGUUGAUAUAAACUGUAGACUACUUGCAUGGGGUGAGAGUGAGACAAUGUGAAGGAGACAAGUAUCAUUAUGUUAUAUCCUAGGUGCAGCCAUGUGAUUUCCAACACUAGGAAAACAUGGAAAUGGUGAUGAUGUUCAUAUGGGGCACCAUUAUUUUCACCAGAGGCAUCAGUGUUGGUUGAUGAUGCUCAUAUAGGCCUAGUUUGGUAAUGUGGAGGCUAAAAGAACCAUUUUAAUACUAUGAAAGAUCCAAAAAAUUUAAAAACUCUUGUAACGUAUCUUCCUCCAAUGCUUUAAAAUUGUGGUUGCAACUGCCACCGGAGAAGCAUGUGGCUACAUGUUUCUCCAGUGGCGGUUGCAACCAUAAUUUUAUAGCAUAAAAGAAGGAAAAAUUGAAAGCGCUUUUGUAAAUUUGGGCCCUCUAUAAUAUAAAUAUUGUGCUUUUAGCCAGCAAAUUACCAAACGAGGCCAUAGUACCCCACUACUCUUAAGUAUAUGGUUAUGCAUUAGUGGCAUUGUUUGAAUGACUCUAUGAAAUUGAAGAACACUUAGUUAAGAACUGCCACAAAUUUUUAUAUCAUAAUUAUAGAUAGAAAUUGGAUCAAUUUUUAUAUUGUUACAUGAUAUCAUAAUUUCAUCGGUUGCCUUUCCAGGUCUAGUCAUAAAGACAAUUAUAUACGGGAAUGCAGUUUAAGCCGUAGGAAGCCGAGGGUUAACAACCUCCCAGACCUAGUCCAACCAGUUCCGAUAGUCAUAAGCCUGUCCUUUUCCUUGUGUACCCUCUUUCGGGCUUCUAUUUUUUCUACUCUUGAAAGCAAGCGAGUGAAAUAAAAUUACGCGUCCGAGCUUCUCCUCAACCAGUGGAAGAGCACUUCUCUCUCUUUUCAUUCGGCUCUUGCCUCUUUUGCUUCAUUUCAUCUAAUGAUCAGGUCCUAGCCUCAAGGCAACAACCAAUUAGUUAUCAGCCUACUGACUAUUGCAUCAUAUGGGUUUUAUGAGAGAGGGAUCACUGGGGUGAUACACCAGAUAAAAAUCGAUAAUUGUCAGCAUAUGAAACAGUGAUUUCAUAUCUUAUAUGUGCUUAUUUCUGUUAUUCCUUUGAUUCUUGCUCCCGGCGGUUCAUUCAUUUGACCAUAACUAAAGCUACUUUGGAUUCUGCAAAAUUUUUUUGAUUAAUUAUUACUUUUGUUGAUAUUAUCAUAAUAAAACUUACCCACGUUGCUUAUUGCUGUCCCUUUUAUCAUUUUACUAUAGGAAGAGAAUGACCUUUAUAAUUUAACAUUUUAUUGGUUUUUUAUAUCAUUUGCAUCAUCUUCAACCACCCUUACACGAGAACUUGUAACUUCUCCGGUUUAAAUCCAUGACCAAUGAAUGAAACGUGAAUUCUAGUAAAUGCUAAGCCGUAAUGAUUUAUGUCCGUAAUUUGUAAAUUAGCUCGAUUCAUCUCAUCUUCUCUUAGUCCAUAGUGUCUUGUUACACAACCUCUUGACAAUAUUAUCCAAGUUGGCCAAGCCCAUAGAAUAAGGCAAUUUUUGUACUGGAAGUUCUAAGAGUUUACUCAAAAUACCUUUUGGAAGUUAAAUUCUACAUAAUCUUUAGUCUACUUAAAUUGUCUGCUGUUAAAACUCAGAAGUAUGUAUCUUGCCUAUGUUUAUGCUAAAAAUAUUUCUAAUUUACAAGAAGAAAAUAUUACAUUUCCAAAAUUGUCCACAAAAUCAACUAAACAAUAUAAAAAUUAGUAGCAUUGACCUGUCUUGUUAUAGUUGUACUUUUCUGUACCCUUUAUUACCAUUAAUUAUCUCUAUUAAACAUUUCAUCAACCCUUUCUUGUUUACUUAUCUAGCUGUUAGAAAUUAGAAUGCAAUUAUAGACUGCUAAUUUCGUGUAAAAUUUCUAUGUAUCUCAAAAACUUAAUGAGUCUCUAUUUCUACUUGUGAUUUCCCAGGGAUAAAUAUUUUAUUUGAACUUAGUACCUCACAGUCUGUCAAGUCUUUUUUGUGUUAGAGGUAUGCUAUAUGGAAACUAAGGGCUUAUGAUCUUCAUGUGCUUUAUAUGUAGUCAUGAAAGUUUUCCAGACAAUCCAAUUAUUACGUAAACCUUUAACUUUUCCAGAAGCUAGACUUUCUGUGGUGCAGUCUAAAUCUAGACAAGCGUUUAUUAAUUCUUUCCAUUGUAAUUUCGUAAGGUUUAGGGGUUGCACAUGUUAUUAGCAUUGCAUUGAACUCUAGUUUGGAUUCGUUUGGAUAGUUCAGGAUUAGAUGCAUUAUUGGUGGAUCAAGCAUCAAUUCAGUUACGAAAGGGGAUUAAAUCUUCACUGGAACUUCUUUUAAGAUGUUGGAUUGAAUGCGCUCAAAUUUCUAGCAGUGUUUCAAUGAUUUUGAUUUAAACUGCUGUUUUCAUUUCCUCCAUGCUGAAUUACAUGUUCUAAAUUAAGUUAUAGAGCUGUCUUUCAUUUCUUUAGAUGGUCGUUUGUUGAUUUGGAACUUCCUGAGUUUUAGCCAUUCUGGUUUCAGUUUAAAACUGUGCCAAUGCCUUUUCGCUGCUAGUGCCGUUCAGAUUUGUUGCUUUUAUUGCUGCCCAUUUUGAAUAUAUUUUACUGCAGAAACCUACCUUUAUUUGCUGGAUAACCUUCAUCAUGCCUCACUGCUUUAUAAUACUAGUCAGUUAGAAAUCUUUUCACGGCCCCUUUAGGCAGAGUCCUUGGAUGAUUAUAUUGAGAGUUUUCAAUGGCUAGGAUUUCCCUUAGUUCUUCCACUCCAAUUGUUUCUUAGAUGUAAAUUGUUUACUUUUUGUCUCUUUCUUCAAAGAAAAAAAAUCUUCAUUCACUGUUAUUCAGUUGUUCUUCUUCAAAAGCUCUUUCUAGACGGAAUUUUGUCUUUUUUCCCUUUUUUGCUGCUUUAGGAGAGCUUUCUUAGUGACAAAAGAAAAUGCAACUUGAUUUGCCACACUACCACUGUCUAAUAGCAUCCUUUUUGUUAGUGGACUACAUCAACUUGGUAGUGGUGCAAGUUCAAAAUAAAGUAAAUCCUAAUCUAGAUUUAGGCUGCAUCAAAGUUUGCUUGGUUUGAGGUGAACUUUUGAUUUGAUCUUUUCAUAGAGAUUUUUUUUUUUAUUUUUCUUAUUUUUAUUUUUAUUUUUUUGUUUGAAAAAUGAUCUGUUCAUAGAGUUUCAUUAUCUUGUCAUUACUAGUGAAAUACCCGCGUGUUGCUGCGGAUAUAAAAAUAUUUUUAUAAUAAAUUUAUUUUUUUAAAUAUUUUUAUAUAGUUUUAUAAAUUUAAUUAUUAAUUAAAUAAAUAUUAUAUAAAAAUAAUUUAAUAGUUAAAUCUAUUUAAAUAAAGAUCAUUCAUUAAAAUUGGUGGUAUAUGCCAAUAGUAGAAUUAUACGAAUAUUUAUUUAUAAAAGAUUUAUCUGAAAAGGAUUGAGGAUAAAUUCUAGUCAAUAGAUAAUUUUGUGUUCGGUAAGAAAGAUGGAGGUGCGAGUAAAUAGAAGGAAAACUGAAAAUGUGGUGAGAAGAGAGAGUUGUUGAGAUACGAGUGAGCGGAUGGGGGUUCGUGUUUUUAGGCGAUAUUGGAUGUAUUAUGGGGUGAUAUUAUAUAGAACUAGUUUAGGCUAUAUACUAAUAAUAUCACCAAGUUAUUGGUGGCUACCAAGUUUUUGGCCAUUGGAUUAAGAGAUGUGCGGUUAGGAUGAUGUGGGUCCCCUAGGGUUGAGUGGGUGGUGGUUUUGAAUAGUAUAAUCGUAACGGAUGAGAAAUGAUCAAAAGGGGUAGUUCUAAGCGCGGAAAACUUGGCUGCACCAGUGUUUCGUUGCUAUUAAUAGCAUAGAGCCGGACUCUUUCUCUUCGUUCUUCUCUCUGCUGCUCGUGUAUAUAUAUUAGGUAUAUGAUGGAUAUUACUAUUUCGUAAAAAUUGUUAAGUUGUUGACUCGUGAUAAAUGUUAGAAUCUCUGUAUUUUUUGAUACAGCAAGUAUUUUUACGUGACUUUAAAUUGCAUCUAUUUAGGUUUAGAGUGGUUGAUUAGUGGUUAUGUUAGUUACGUUGCUGAUUGAUUAAGUAGAAAUUAAGUUAAACUAGAACUAUUUUUAGGCUUAAUUAUUGAAACGAAAUGUAAGUUGGAAUGUGUGAAAUUUCAUAGAGUUUGAGAAGACUGUUUGAAGAAUUAAAAUUGUUGAAGUUAAGAAUUGUGGAAGAGUAAAAGGUGAUUUAUAAGGUUAAAAUUGAGACACAUUGUAGAAUUUGAAAAAGUAUGAACAAUACGUAAAAUAUCAACAAUUGGAAGAGUAUCAAGAAUGUUAAAGGAUACUUAUGUAUGGUGGGUUGUAGCGUGAUGUGAUAUAUGAUGAUAUAUAUAUAUAUAUAUAUAGAGGGAGAGAGAGAGUAAAGGAGGGUUUGGGGGGACACGUGUCACCCUUUGGUCCCCCCAAACCCUCCUUUAAUGUAGUAGAAAGAAUAGGAAUAGAUUAUUAUCCUGCUAUAAUCUUAUAUGACUAAGUCUAGGAUCCUGUUGUGCUGAUUUGGCUUCAAAUCUUCCCUUUUCAAAUUUGAUGUUAGUGUGAUUGAAUGGAUAAUUGAUGCCUUUGGAGAUAAUCUAGUCUAUGAAAGCUCUAUGCAGGAAAUGAAAGUAAAUAUUCUUGCUCAAGAUAUCAAAAAAUGUUUUCUGAUAAAUUUUCAACUUGAAUUAUAUUUCACCAUUAAAACAACAACUACACCCAAUUAACAAUAAAAGUAGUCAAAUUUAAGGGGGCUUGAGUGAUUGGUACAGAGCAUUGAAAUUCAAUGAAAUUUGGUUUCUAGUGUCUUUAAUACCAUAAAACAUUUAUAAUGGCUCCAAUCAUCGAAUCAAAUGCCCGAACAUAGAUUUUGAGAAGGAUUUGGAUGCAAAUCCUCCCAAAAGGAUCCUAGCUUAUCUUAUAUGAAGUACUUGAAAGUUGAAACUAUUUUUGCAUAUCGAUGAUUUUAAACACGACUUUCUAGUGCGUAGGAGCUAAGUUAGAUGGAGAUGAAUACGGAGCAUAGGACAGGACACAUACUCAAACAUGGCAACUUAGCAACUCCAAGCAAUUUAGGAUAUUGAUGCGACAAGGACACAUCUAGUCAUAUACAAUAUUUAUUAAAUAUAAUAAUUUUUUACAUAAAAUUUUUAUAUUUUAUUAUGCAAAACAUCAUAAAAACCUUAAAAAAGAAGAGUAGAAAAACCAUCGUAUUAAGAGAAACUAUCUUGAAAAUAGUCUUAAAAGAUAAGAAUUUGAAAUCCUAAAAAAAAGGAUUGAACACUAGAAAGACUGAAAAGAGAGGAAAAGAAAGAAAAAAAAAAGAGAUUUUUGAGAGGAUAUCAAGCAAAGGUGGGCCAUAUGGUAGAGGAAGUGGGUGAGAUAGCAGCUAGUGACAUCAAGGAUUUAAGUAUCGUGGAAUGGGGUUAUGCCAGAAAUUUGCUGGCAUGGGCUAGCAUGGUAUGGCAUGGUGCGUGCCGGGUCGUGCCGAUGCGUGCCGGUCACAAAAAAUAUGUGUGCCGACACAUAAUGGCAUGAAAUAUUUAUUUUGUUUAGCAACAAAAUAUGCCAAUUAUUUUUUAUGUACUUUUAUCAAAUCUUUUGAACUUUAUUAAGAAAAUUACUUACUAAUUUAAAGAAUAAGAGGGUUUUGAGUAGUGCCAUCGACACGGGGGCUGUAUCGUGCCGAUAUCUUGUUGGCAUGAUACAGCACGGUGUAUACGGCCCGUGUUGAUGGGCACUUAAAUCCUUGGCUGGUGUACCACUAAUUCUUUCUUUUAUCGGAUUUUUUUUAUUUUAUGGACAAAAUAUAUAUUUUUUAAGGUGUUAAUGGGCCGGACUUCCUUAAUAGUUCUGUUAGAUAAUGUGAAACAACUGUUUUUCUCUAAAAGCUUAAGGUAACAAACAAGGAUUUAAGUGUUGUGGCACGGGGUUGUGUCGGAAAGUUGCCGGCACGGUACGGCACGGUGCGUGCCGAGUCGUGCCGAUGCGUGCUGGUCAAAAAAAUUCUUGUGUGCCGACACAUAAUAGCAUGAAAUAUUUAUUUUGUUUAGCAACAAAAUAUUCUAAUUAUUUAUUAUGUCUUUUUAUCACAUUUUUUGAACUUUAUUGAGAAAAUUACUUACUAAUUUAAAGAAUGGAGGGUUUUGAGCUGUGCCAUCGGCACGGGGUCUGUAUCGUGCCGGUAACUUGUUGGCAUGGUACAGCACGGUAGAUAUGGCCCGUGCCGACGGGUACUUCAAACCUUGGUAACAAAGAAUAGUGUUUUUAAUAUUUAUAUUCAACAAGGUCCAACUAAAUUCGCAAUAGGGUGCGCCCUAUGCAGCAUUUGAGUGGAGCAUGUGUGCUUUUAUUUCUUUUAUCAUGCUGACGCACAACGUAUGUGAGUUUUUCUUGUGUCUGCUGCGCAUCCUUUUCCAGAUGCAACUCUGACUCGGAUGCAAACUUCUUCACUAGGGAUGCAAACGGGGCGGAUCUGGGGGCGGGAGCCCCCGCCUCCCACCCCGAAUUCGUAACGGAUUAAAAAAUACAUCCCAUAAUCCAUCCCGCCUUGUAACUCGCCUCCCGCCGGCGCCCCGAAUCCGCCCCGCCAACUAAUAUUUUUUAUAAAAUUAUAAUAUUAUUAAUAUUUUGUAAAAUAUAAAAUAAUAAUUUUUAAUAAUAUUAUAUAUAUAAUUUAACAAUAUCAAUUAUAAAAAUAAAAAAUAUCAAUCACAAUUCAAAACAAAAUUCAAAAGUUUCAAAUACAUUAAAAAUGAGAGUACUAACUUAUUUGUAUUUUGAACUUUUUUGUAAAUACAUUAUUUUUUAGGAAUAUUUUUUUAAAAUAUAAAUGAUUUUCGGGGCGGAUUCGGGGCGGAUCAUGGCGGUGCGAAUUCGGGACGGGUCAAAAUUUCCCCCGUUUCCUGCCCCGAAUCCGUCUCGGAUCGUAAAAUUUACCCCAUUUUCUGCCCCAAAUCCGUUUAUUUUCUCCCUUUACUGCCCCCGUCGGGGCGGGAGCUCCACCAACCCGGAUCCGUUUGCAUCCCUAUUCUUCACAGCUGUGUCCGUGUUACCUAGCUUAGGAGUUGUAACUUUCUUAUUCAAGUUUCUUGCAAUAUAGUACUGAUUGGUGAGAUUGAGGUUUAAAGUACUUGAAGCUUUUUGUCAAGCAAUUCUUUUAGGCAUGUCGCAAGAUUGCCCAUGUUAGCCUGUGCCAAAGCCAUCCCAGCAGGUGGCAUAGGGUCGAGCUUGCAUUGUACGGACUUUUUCUCUCUUUCUAUUUUUUUUGAACUUUUGGUGUCUUUUUCAGUUUUGUUGAGUUGAGAAGCUUUACAAAGAUUUUUCAUCCUUGAAAUACAUAGAUCUUGUAAAUCUACUAAUAUUUGGAGCAAUUAAUGAGUCUCAUACUCCCAUUGCAUAAUAAGACGGAGUUUUAGUGAAAUAAUACAAAUAAGAAGAUUUCCCCCAAUUUUUGUCAUCAUUUUAGAUCUAGUUAAUCUAACCAUGGUAGUGUUUUCUCAUAAAUUUUCACCUAAUUUUGGCUUUUAUGUUCAUGCAUAUACUUUCAUAACAUAAAUAAGAUAAUUUUUUCAGUUACUAAGAUCUUUAUGACCAUAUUCUUUCUAAAUUUUGUGUGAUAACACUUGAGUCAUUCUUUUAGCUAUUAGAGAUGUCAAAACACUCUAGACUGCUAAGUUUUCAGGAAAACUUGAUAACAAAGACCGUGCCAAAAUGAAGCAGUGUGCUAGUGGUGUGCCACUAGCACAAUGGGGGUAUUCCAACAUUGGCACACCCGACACAGCAAUCUGUGGUAUGUCUAAUCCUCCUUUGUUAGUAAGUGGUUUGGGUUCUCUGUAGUCUCUGUAGCCUGACCAAAAGGUAAAUAAAACAUAAUCACAAAUAUUGGAGCAUUUACACCAUACAAACACCCAAACGGAUAGUUGAUGUGUUUUCCUGAUCAACACGAUCAGUGGUUGAACAUAGUGCUCUUUCCAUUAAUAAAAAAUUUCUGCAACACUGGAGCAGCUGCUAGUACUACUACUGUAGCUCUACGGGAGAAACCACUUCUUAUGAAUGUGCUUUUAACAGGUAAAAAAGAUUAAAUCAAAAUAUAUAUCUUGUACAUCUUUGUUAAAAAGAAACAAUGUGCAUUUCUCAAACAGAGUCAUACACUCUCCAAGUACAUAACUUAUACAACAACUAAUUAUGUCAACUGUUGUUUCUCCAUUCCAAUGUAAGAUGUCUUACCUGCUUAGAAAUGGUGAUCUUCUCUUCAUCUUCCAAUCACAUAUUGAUAAUAACUUGAUUGUUAGAUUGAUAUAUUGCAAAUUAUUUUCUUGUUCUGUAUUGUUGUUCUUUCCUCUCUUUUUUUCCGUUUUACCUUUUUCACUAGUCCUACUUUUGGCUUCAAGCAUCCAAGUUCAGAGUUUGAAGGUAGUAACGAUAGUGGCAGUCAAAACUUGGCCACAAUAACUGAACUUAGAUAAGGUGAAAGCUUGCUAUGAACAAGCCUUCUAAUAAUGUAACAAAUCUAGUUCCUUGGCGUGCCAAUGAUAUAGAGAAACAGAAAUAUUCCAUACAAAAAAUGACUCGCAAGAAAAUUUAGGAAUUAGAAUAUUGUUUUGUUUUUUCUUCUACACUUGAAGUGCAACCUAUGUGAACAGAAGUUUUAAGUUGCAUCCAGCAUGUAAUAUUUCAAGCAUAAAUUUGCUCCUCAUGACAUGCGCCAUUCUGAUUGGCCAUCAUCAUUUGUGUGCUUCAGUGCUGUACAUUGCAUUAUUUGACAUAGCACAUGCAGGCAUUUUAGGGAUCAUGUAAAAUGGGGUUAUGUAGAAUAUGUUUGACCCUUUUUUUUUGACUUGGGUCUUUGUGGAAAUAAAACCGUUUUCUCGAUUCUUCAGGUACACCUUUCAUUCAACUCCUGUUAACACUAUCAUUUUUUUUCAAUUGAGAGAGAGAGAGAGCUACUCGCUUUGUUCUUUCUUUUUUUUAAGAAAUGAAUUUAGCCAGAAAUAUGAAGCAACUACGCUUUGAACUUGGUCCCUUGGGUACCAACCAUCAAGCCCUUAGGCACUUGCGAAAGGGAUGGUUGGUAACACUUUGAAUUCUUAAAUGCUACAGUUUCUUAUGUCACUAAUUCUGAAAUCUAUUUCUUAGCAGUAUUCUUUAUUCAUUAUUCAAAAUGAAAUUGAUUAUUUAACAGGAUGGGAUCUAUAUAGAAUUGUGUGUUCCAUGGCAUCUCUAUAGUUGAAUAUAAUCAGAAUUAGACAAAAUAUACUGCAAAGAAGCCCUUAACCAUCAAAAAUUUUAUGUUAAUAUAAUCUUUUCUGCAUGCCAAAUAGUGGUAACAUUAGUAUUUUGAGAAUUACCGACGCACAAAAUUCAACCCUUGAAACUAUGAGGAACGAUGAUAUGAAUCCUCUGCUGCUUUUACUAUCUAUUUCUUAGCAGUAUUCUUUAUUCAUUAUUCAAAAUGAAAUUGAUUAUUUAACAGGAUGGGAUCUAUAUACAGACUUUUGUGUUCCAUGGCAUCUCUAUAGUUGAAUAUAACCAGAAUUAGACAAAAUAUACUGCAAAGAAGCCUUUAACCAUCAAAAGUUUUUAUGUUAAUAUAGUCUUCUCUGCAUGCCAAAUAGUGGUAACAUUAGUAUUUCGAGAAUUACCGACGCACAAAAUUCAACCAUUGAAACUAUGAGGAACGAUGAUAUGAAUCCUCUGCUGCUUUUACUAUGUUUUUUCUGUUUAAAUGUAUUUUAGGCAAUUAUAAUACGCAGAGAUGAGCUGAACUAGUAUAGCAUUAAACUAGAUAUAUGUCUGUACUGUUCUGAUUUAUUCUGGUUUAAAUGACCAAAUUUAGCAUUUCACUUAUCUCUUUAUUUGCCAUAUUAUGUCUGCCUCUCUCAUCUAAACAUUGGAAAUGUCCAUGACACAAUAAUUAGUAUUAUCGACCAAGAUCGUGGACAAGGUUAUUGCGGAACUUGAGUCAUGUGGAUUUCAGUGUUUGAAGGCAGAAGUUGGUGGGAAAGGUCUGGAAGUUUGUUUCAGCUGAUGUUCCUAGACUUGUCAUACAUUUGCAAUGUUAGUAUUUCUCGGCAAUUAUUGUGUUGGCUUUUCAUUUAUGUAUAACAAUGAAGAUCACACUUUUAUCUACAAUCCAUUGCUGUUCUAGUCAUCGUCAUGGCCGCAGUCACUGUUGACAAAUAAGAUAUUAUGUAAUAAAAUUUUCACCUAUCAUUUUCCAUGAAAUUAUGGACCUGUAAUUUGUAGCACCACCUGUCAACUGCUGCUGCAAAUGUAGUGGAAGGCAGUUGUGCUAAUUCCAUUAGGAUUGGUCAUAUACAAAUAAGUUCAAUGGUUAUAUUUGAAGUACAUCGCCUUAUUGCUAUGUUUCUGUGCUACUAGAGGAUUCGUUUACCGCUUAUUAUCAUUAUGUUUUGUUUACAUUUUCAUGCAGGUGCAUGAGUGCAUUCUGAUUAAAACUUUGGGAACUAUCACAUUUUUUUCCCACUGCUUGUAAUCUACUGAAUCCCAUCCCAUUAUGCUGAACCUUGACCAAAUUGGCUAAAAUAUGGUGAGGAAGGAUUAGGGGAGGUCCAUGUCGGGUUCCGAAGGCGUCGGAACAAGAAGUAUCGGUGAAACUUGAAGAAAGUUGGGAGCAAAUAAAACUUUUGGAAAACGAUUGUAUUUCGAAAUCUAAUUAUUUUUAUAAGAAAAAAAUUAUAAUUUUCCAAUGUUGGAAGUGUUUCACAUGUGUGAAGGAUUUUCGGUUGUGUUGGAUUUGAUUUGGAGAGAAAACGGAAUGAAAAUCGGAUUUUUAAAGCGAAAAUUAGAAGAAAAUAAAGAGGCUGAAAAUACUGAUCACAGUGUUAGGGUCCGGACCUUGUGGUAAGGUUCGGACCUUGACUGCGAAAAUGCCCGAAAUGAGGUACGGGUUCGGGGCCUUAAUAGAGGGUCCGGACCUUGCGCUGUUUGGGCCUCCACCCCACACAUGAGAGAAAAGGGGAAACCCUUCUCUCUUUCUCUCUAACACCUCUCUCUUCCUCUCUUGUAAUUCCUCCUCAAGGUUGGAGGAUUUGGUGGAGAGCAAGAUUAGAAGAAGGUUGAUGGUGGUGGGAGCUCUCUAAUGGUGGAUCAAGCUUGGAGAGCAAGGUGGCCAUGGUGAGUUUUUAGGAUUUGAGUUAGGGUUUUGUCUCAGGAUUUGAGUUAGGGUUUUGGUUGAUCCUUUAAAAUUGAUGUUUUUGGAAGUCGUAGAUGAUUCUGAACUAAAUUGGGUAAAGGUUUAUCAUGGAUUUUGGGGUUUUCUUAUAGAACUUGAAACUCUAGGAUUAGAAUUGGGGCUUUUGUUGCUAAGAGAUUUGGAACUAAAUUGAUUGUAUAAAUCUCUAAUUGAAGGGUAGUUCGACGCAAGUGACAACUCCGAUUUGGAUUAUGACGAGGUUACAACGUCUGAUUGGGAGAUUUUGCCGAAUUUGAUUCAUUAGGCUUGGGUCGAGCUGAAUCGGGUCGGAAAUCAAAUUGCUUAAAAAUCCUAACAAUUGUUAAUUAACUAAGGUUGGUGGUGCUCUCCGAAAUUGUUGGAUUUCUCCUUAUGUCUAACUCUAUUCUUUGUGCAUAUAUGUGUAUAUGUGGAAUUGUAUUUGUUUGGGUUAAAGUUAUCAUUUUUUCGUGUGAAUUACAUGCUUCCUAAGUUAAUGAAUAGACAAUUGUGAUCGAGAACUUUACAGUUAGGAUACAUGAGUAUAGUGCCAUGUGAAUCGUUGUAAUAUAAGAAUUAGUUGUUUGGACGUAGAAAACAUAGUGAAACACUAGACCUCAUUGUGAGUGUUAAACAUAAACCUAGUGAUGGAAAUAUAGAUUGAGUAUCCUAUUGUGCAAGUAAAGAAUAUGAAUAUUGUGUGUCAUGAUUGUACAAGUGAGUUUGUUGCCGUAGUUGCACAGGAUUUGAAAUGAGCAUGUUAGGGAUUAGUAGAUCCCCGGAUGUUGCUACCCUAGUUAGUAGGGUGUCGUCGAGAUCAGAGGACUAGAUUGUACUCACAUUGUCUAUUUGGCUUGUGAUGGUUGCGACACUACAAGCAGUGAGUUUCAGAGUUGUCACAUAUCGGUUAAGCCGAAUUCUUCCCAGCAGGUGGCCCCAGAUGGGUUAAGCGAAAAUUCUUCUCAACUGUUGGCCCUGGUAUUGUGAGUGGGCUUGACCUCCGGGUGAGCCGGUAUGAUUGGGUCGUGAGGUUAAAAAGGAAGUCAGCUGAGCAUGGUAGUCAUGUCUUUGAUUACCUUGUGAAGUCUUGUAGUAGCAUCACAUGACAGGUGACUGGUCGAUUAUGCCUCCUCUGUAGACAAUCUGUGUUGGGUUGAGCGGAAUUCUCCCUAGUAGACGAUCUAGAAGAGGGAUUUGGGCUUGACUAUACGGUGAGUCGGUAAAAUUGUGUCAACAGAAAUAGAUAGCCAAAUUAGCAUAUUGGGCCUUGGAACCUAUUUCAUUUUGCAUAGGCAUAGUAGUGCUUGUGUUCAUUUUAGCUUUAUGCAUAGUAUAGUUGUUAUACUGCUUUCCUAUUCUAUUAUUUACUUUUGCCUUAAUAGACUUAGUGGGAAAGUCGGUGAGGUCGGCGGCCGAACCCAUUGAAAACUUCUUUUAGUUCUUACCCCCUAUUUUCAAGAGCCAACCAUUAGCGGAGCAGCAUCGGACCGAGGCGUGGGCGUUGUGCCCUAGAUAGCCGGGUCACCAAGUUUAGGUUGCCCUAUGUAUAAGCAAAUUAAUAUAAAUGUAUUUUUGAAAGAAAAAAAUGUAAUUGAUAACGAGGUUGUAUUUUGAGGAAGAACUCGGGUAUUAAAUUUGAGAAUUGUAUGUAAAAUGUGUAUGUUCAAGUGUUGAAAUAGCUAGGUUUAACUUUCUUGCUCUCGUGAUAUGCCUUCGUGUAGAACUGUAUUAUGUUGUUUUUCCUGGGUGAAAUUCAAUGUACUUGUUUUGUUUAUGCUUUGGGCGGAUAAGGAAAACUCCGUCCGUUCAGCGGUUUGUGUACAUGCCCGAACCGACCCAAGUGGCGGUGCCGUGGCGUAAUAGAUAAGAGUGGUAUCAGAGCGUAGAAACAGUCUAGGAGGACCUGGGAAAACUUAGGUUUGGAAAACCGUAAGAACCUAGGCUCGUGAGUGGACGGAACUUAUGGUGAAAGUGAAAUGAUUGGGUCAAGAUGUGUCUCAAAUAGUAUUUUGGAGGUGGAUUAAAAGUGUUGCAACUACUCUAUUUAGAUGAUCAUGUUGGCUGCAGACAACAUGAUGUUGAAAGUAGAGUAAGGGUGCCCUUCUAUGACUUUCGCUUGAUUGGGUCAGCUAUUGUGCGCGACGGAAUUAAGUUCGAUCAUUGGAUCGCCUAGGUACGUGCGUUAUCCCUCGAGUGACGAUAGAAGUUACUUGGUGGAGCGGAUCUUGCGGAAGAUUAGAUAGCCCUCCGAUGUUGCGAACGAAGUGUCGCUAAGGGCAUGAGGCUUCCCGUUGUGGUCGAGAUGUUUGGUCUUGAGGAGCCAAUGUGUGUCUUGACUUGGUGUUAGGACUGUAGUUGUGGAAAUUUGAUAAUUCUCAUCUUAGUGGACCUGGAGACGUUUGCCUCAGCUAAGAUGGGUAAUGGAUGCAAUGCGUGACCCUGAGUGAUGGAUGUGGUGCACGAUCCUUGAUAAUAGUUGCAAAGGCACGACCCAUGGGGAAACGGCAUAGGUAAGACUGGACUAUGGUCGGAUAACGAGAAUGAACUAGCAAAGUGGCGACGGUUGAAAAUGGAGCCGAGUUGAUAGGGUCGGUAAGUGGAACAUUCCGGGAGGAUGGCCUCGUUUUUCCAAGGCAGGGAAACAUGAUGUGACUCGUAGGAGCAUGUCAGUUCAGGUUGGUUAUUAAGUAUAGCAUGUUUUACACACUAUAUUGAAUGUGUUAGCGGUUAAUUCUCUACGGGAUUUUAAGUUGAGUGGGUGCGAGGAUUGAGAUUUUUUCUGUAUAGAUAAAUGCACUGUUAAUGAUGUUUUUAUGUAUAUUUUAUUUCUAAAAUAGCUGGUCAAAUUUCAGCGAAAAAUGAAUUAAAAUAAGGCUGUUAUGCGAUUUUUAUUAUUUACUUAAGUGAAUAGUAACUCGUGUUUUCGUUUGAGGCCAUUGAGUGUAAGAUGGCUCUGUCACAUACCGGUACUUUGUUUUGGGUUAUCCAAUAGGCCGUUUUGUUGGUCCGACUAUGCUGGAGUUAACGACGCUGACGGGUUUUGAGUUUAACACAUAGUUUUCGAGAAAAGUGAAUUUUAUCGCAAAAAAGACAUUUAUUUCUCAUUAUUUUUGCUUUUUAUAACCAUAUGGUGCACCAUUUUGCGUGAAAACCCAUGGGCGGGGAUCUUUCUGCGAGAGAUGGCAGUGGAGAGGGACCAGAUUGUAAUUAUUGAGGAUUGGAGGAGUUUUGAGUGAUUAUUCUUUUAAAUGUCAAUUAGGAUUAGGAUUAAGAGUAAUUAGGGUUAAAGGAGCCUAGAAACCCUAGCCCUAACCCCUAAUCUCCUCAUACUUGGUCCAUCAGAGAGAUUGUUGCCAUUGUCCUCGCUGCCGCCGGCCGCCGGAGAAGAAGAAAGUCCCAAUUCUUCUUUUCCUCUAUCUCUUUUUCUCUCUCCAAUAGCCUUGUGAAGGGGGUGACCUAAGUCUCCUUGCAACUAGCCACCAUCGACUGAGACCGCCAGCGGCGUCACCACCGGCCCCCGGCGCCCGCCCCUGUGCAACCCUCGGUGCUGCCCUGCCCUGGGGAGCUACCGCGGCCAAGGGCAAGGCCGCAGACCCCGUGCGACCGUGGGGAGCCACCCGACCGACGCCGCCGCACCGCGACGCCUCAUGUUGUCGCUGUCGGUCCCAGGGAGGCCACCGACGCCAUCCCAGCUACCCCCGAGCCGCCGCGGCGAUGUUGAGCUCAGCCCUAGCCGCGAGACUGCUUGAGAGCGCUACUGCCGUGCCGCACCGCCGCUGCCUCCCGCCGCCGGCCAAGGCCACCAAUCACCUCCCCUGAGUGCGGUGACCCUUCCCUAGCCGGAGCCUGCCCUGCCGUGCCACCAGCUGCUCCUUGCUAAAAGCCUUAGCUCGACUUGAACUAAAACCAGGGGCUAAUCUUGCGCGAUCUUCGUUUUUCAGCCACCAAUGACUUCGCCGAGCAUCGAAAGUGUGAGCACCGCACUUCUCGGUUCCUGUGGAGUCCCGUGCUCACCUUCUCUGUGAUCAAUGAAGUUCCAGUGCUCGCGAUGAACUCGGCCGUUUCGGGAUCAAGCAAUCAGAGGAUUUUCUCGUUGUUUUGGGCCUUUUCGGUCAUCGGUUGCGCUCCGGACAAUGAGCACGAGCAUUGUUGCAUCAAGACGAAUCACAUUGACUAGUUGGCUGGAUCCGUUGCGACGCGGAUUGGGGUAACGAGCUUGAAACUUGAUUCUAUGUAUUAUUUGAUUAACGGUUAGUGCACUAGUUGAGUUGUUUGUGAGUGUUAUAAAGUGGGAGCCCUAUGCUCUGCCUCGGACAAUGUGAAAAUUGUUUGUGAGUGUUAUAAAGUGGGAGCCCUAUGCUCUGCCUCGGACAAUGUGAAAAUGCUAUUAGCCACCUCAUGACUGAUCGUCAAAGGUCCGGGAGCCGUGUGGAGUGAAAACGAGGUUCCAGGGCAUCGUUUGGGCGAAAUUCGUCGAUCGGACGUGGGUUGUUUUGUGGGUUUUGAUGUUCUAGCAUUAUGGAUAGCUUGAGAACCCCACCAUGCCUCGUUGGCUGGUUGGAACCUUGCUGGUGCGAAGUACAGACCAGCGAUGGAUCCUACGUGGGUUUCGGAGUAAAAAAUGAUGAUUUCCUGGAACCCGGUACGCUGGAUUUUAGGGUUUUUGCACCUGGAUCGCACUGCUUAGCGUGCGAAUGUACUAACACCCAAAAGUGAGUGUUUUGGGACAGUGAGGAAAGUUAAAUGACUUUCGGAGUGUUUCAAAACACUUAGGGGCUUAAUGGAAGCCCGAAGUCCGAAGAUUGGGCGGUUCCGAGCGCAGUUUCUUGUUGCGUGGGUUGCUGUUGUUCGCAGCAGGGUAUGAGCCUUAUUGGCUGGUUUUGUGUGAGGUUUCAUACCUCUGGUCAUAGCAAGAGGGUUGCGGGUGGUUCCGGUGUCGAAAUGGGCAUCUCGGGAAACAAACUGGUGAUUUUUGGGAUUUCAAUUUUUUGUUUAGGCGCACUACUAGUGCGGCUGCCCCAAUAACAUUAAAAUGAUGUGUUGGGACAGCGGGUGAGGUAGGAUAAGUGUGGUACUCUUUUCGUGAGACCUCGUGGGUUGGGGUGGUUUUCCGACAAGUUGGCGCGACAAUCGAGCAAUUUUUCGGUGACCGUUGAAUGGGAUUCGAAAAUUCGAUUGUUCACCUAUUUGGAUUCCUAUAGAAUUAUAAGCUUCUGUAAUUACUGAGUUUGGGCUCAUUACAAUUUUGGUUGGGACUUUGCAUAGAUUCGGACUGCGAGUGGCAUUGAUGUGAGGUCGACGACCCGAUUUCAUUCUAUGGUACAGGUGGGUACUUCGAUCCGAAGUUCGUAAAGUGGUGCCGACUCGGUGAUUUCUAUCCCUUUUAUCUCCUUUCAUUUACUUGAUACUGGUUGAGCUUUCAUACAUUUACUUGACUUCGUAGCUAGUUGCUAUACACCCACUCUUAUAUCAUAUUAUCGUAAUUUAAGUGGUAGAGCGAUAUUUUUUGGUGAUUGAGUUAUCUGUUGUAUGAUUAUAAUAGAUGAUCUUGAUAUUAGUGACUUUAUGAUCGGUGACAUUCUUAGUUAUCUAUUUCAUGAUAUGACAUUAGUUGACACUCGUUCUCGGUGACACUUCCAGAUGUGUAUUGUAUGAUAUGACAUUAGUUGACACUUGUUGUCAGUGACAUUCCUAGAUGUGUAUUGCAUGAUAUGACAUUAGUUGACACUCAUUGUUGGUGACACCUCUAGAUGUAUAUUGCAUCUUAUGACAUUUGUUGACCUUGUGAUUGGUGACACUUCUAGUGGUUUAUUGCAUGACUUGACAUUAGUUAACCUGAUGGUUGGUGACACUCUUAGAUAGAGCUGGACUUGAUUGGUCGGUGACUCUUUGUGGGUUACUCUUUCGGUAAGUUGCCGUUGUUGGCUAUUGAGGAUAUUACAGGUCGUGAGCAUCUUCACGUACACCAGCGGUCUGAUCUACCGCAAAAGGAUGUUCUUUUCCAAAAAAAGUGGCCGUACUUUGGACCUGUGAGCGCUAUGAGGUGCUUGUCAGGAUUAUAUGCCAAGUGGACGAGCAGAAUAUGAUUUAGCCUGAGGUCUUUAGACCAGUAUCGCAGUUGACAUCGUUGUUGGCAUUAUUGAUCCAUUUGAUGCAUUGGUGUACUCUAUUAUUCUUUACAAUAGCUUAUAGUUAUGUCUUGAUUAGUAGUUGUAGUUUCUUUCUGGUCAUUAUUGCUACUAUUUCGAUGCUCCUACUUGUUAUGUCUAUUUGUCUACUCUAUCUUAUAGUAGCAGUUAUUGUUGCGUUUAUUACCAGUUGUUAUUCCAUUGCUAUUGUACCUGAUUCACUUGUUUACUACUGUUGGUUGUCUCUUCCGUCUGCCGGUGAAUACAGCUUGUCUUCGUCGACUUGCGGUACCCAUUGAGAGGGGAGACGUGUUUACAUGUUCUCACCGCUGACUAUUUUUUUAGGUUAACAUUAGCGGUGAGGGUCGGGACGGUGCGUGAGGACGAUACUAGAUAGUUAUGUUUCAAAUCUAUCCGUUGUUGAUAUGUAUUAUCUUUCUACUGGAUUAGUUCGGGAUCGUCUGCUGGACAGAUACUUUAGUCCAUAGGAAAAUACUUUAGUCCAUGGGCAAAUACUUUAGCCCAUCACGUGACAACCUCCGGAGUGCACUGUUUGGGUGGAGCGACCACCACCAAGCUCAAAACAGACUAGGUGAGUAUGAUCUGAUCCUCCUUUAGAGGAUUCAACCACAGACAAUGUCACACUUUAACUUUAACUAGCUCUUUAUGCUAGUUGCAAUUUCAUUUCUCUAUGCUAACCAAAUCUCUAGUUAGAAUGUCACCAAGUUCACUAUUGUUAUAGUCCAUACAUUCAUAGAGUUCUAUGUUCACAUUCUAAUGUUCACAUGUUCUCACUGUCGAUAGGGAUUCAUACUUUCACUUGCACAAUGCCAAUACCCUAUAAUGCAUGACUACAAAUAUAAAUAUGCUCAAUGAAUUAUCAUAGACAUAAAAGGUGAUUCAAAGAUUUCGGAUAGCACCACCCACCUGUAGUGGUGUCAAUGAGCUAAGAUCAAUGUCUCGGAAUGCGUUGACAACUAUUUCUUGCAACUCAGUGCAAAUCGAACUAGAACGGUCUCUACCGUAAGUAGCGUGUCGUCGCCCUGUCGGAAAGUCAAUUUAUACUUUCGAGCAUGUUUAACUUUCAUUUAUAAAGGAUUAAAGGAAUUUAAGCUAGAGUCAUAUUCUCAUAUUUUUCAAGUUAACAUUUCCAUUCCUCAUAAAAUGUCAACUCAAAGAAGAUUUCAGCAUUAAGCUGAAAUCUCACAUCAUGCUGUAUUUUCAGCAUUAGUUCAAGUACUACAUUCAGCUUCUAAUUAGCAUUUUAUAGAAAAUAAGUAAUUGAUCCUUAAUCCAAAUUUGAAUAACUAUGUUACCUCAAGUUCAGCUGAGCUACUAUCAAUUCUGCAGCCUUUUUGUCAACUUGGAACAUUAAGAAACUCACUCAAGGAUCAACUUCAGCCAUACUUCUCACUUCGGGUAGCUCCAAUAAGCCUUUACUCCAUUUCGGCCAAUACCAACAGCACAAAGUCCAUAUAAGCAUCAAACUUUAAGGUAAAUAAUUCAGCUCAACUAAGUAUGGAAUCAAUCUUACCUUAAUUUGGGCUUUCUCCAAGUUUCAUUCAGCAUCAACUACUCAAAGUCCCAAAUCUCAAUCUGAAAUUUCAGCAAUAUGGAAUCUUUUCAUAAUUCCUCUCUAAAGCUAGUAGUUUGACCCUAAUCAACUACUAAACAGAAUUACCUUCACUAGAUGCUGAAUUUGACCUGCUUACAGCAUCAAUUAGGUCACCCCUGCAUUUCGACAGCACCAGCAGCACCAACAAUAUCAACUUCUUGCUCUCAGCUGCAAGAAUUUCCAUAUGGUGAUCUUUUCCAAGGUAAUUAACCUAUAGAAGAAUAAGUACUAAUCAAGUUUACCUUGAUUAGUUGCUGUCCCAAGUUGUUCAGCAACUCCAGCAGCAAGAAUUCUUUGCCUUGCGGCUCUCUCUCAAGGCUGAAACAUCAAGGCCAUCAGCACCAAUGACACUUUAAUUUCUCUUCAGCAGCAGCCCCAACUCAGCAACACAUCAAUCCAGAAGCUCACAUCUGAAUUCGAAGCUCUCCAACAGCUUCCUUCUUUAACUCCGCAUGGUCUCUUUUCAGUUCCACAUCAAGAAAAACUUAAUUUGCAAGCCUCAAUGCUGUUAUCUCAAUUUUUUCAAGCUGCAACAGCAAGAAAUUCACAUAACAAUCCUUUCCAAAGUAACUAACCUAUAUAAGAAGAAAUACUAAUCAAGUUUACCUUGAUUAGAUGCUAUUCCAGGUGAUAUAGCAACUCUAAUCAGCAAAAACUUCUUGCUUGGAUCAGGUUUUCUUUUCAGCCACAAGUCUCCAAGGCUGUCAGCACCAAGUUCUUCAACUCUUCUUAGCUUAGAGAGAGAAGGAGAAGAAAAUAAAAGAUAAGGAAUGAAGAGAGAUGACCCUUCAGCAUCUGGACAUGUGUAUCCCACUAAGGGUGAAGAGAUAAUGCUGUAAAAUUGCACUUUGGCCCCUCAAAAUGCUGAAAUUGCAUUGCUGGACAAAUGCUGCCCGCAAUUGCUAUACCGGUACAAGAAUGUGUACCGGUACAGGACAGCAGCAGCAGCAGCAUCAACAGCUGCUUCGAUUCCUUGUUUCUCACUUCUAAUCCAUUCUAAUUUCAUUCCAACACUUCAAAAACAUUCCAAAUGAACAUCCCAAGCUAUCAAAUUAAUUUGGGAGCAAUUAAUUUCAAAUUUGCAUCAAUUUGCUCAUUUUGACCAAAUCGACUAAAAUUUCAACAUUCGAGUUACAAUGGCAAUUGGAUGUCUUUAGCCACUCCAAUUCCAUUCUUAUCUAUUCUCACAUUUCCAAAACCUGUCACUUGAUAUUCUCCAGCCACUAAUUAAGUUUAGAAAUACUCAAUUUCCAUUUUAGCAUUAUGGUGACCACUUUGAUCACAAUUAGCUUGUAAUCAAAAUUCAGCCUAUUACAUUUACGGUUUUAUUAGUGGAUUUCAGUGUUAUACUUAUCCCUCUGUUGUAAAACAUAGUUGUUUACUUUGCUUUGAUAUCGUUAGAUCCUUUGUUUAUCUGCCUUAUUUAUCGUUUUGUUUUAGACGCCUCAUAUGUUUUAGACAUAUGGCGGGUCUGGGCACGCGCCGGGCGGCCUUCCGCUGGGUCCCGGGGCGUGACACUAUUCCACAGAGCCGAGACCGAGCGCGCUGGCGAGCGACUGCUGUAAAGGUAUCGCACCGUAGUCAGAGGCCACCAGAGUUGGGUUAUAUUUUGUUAGUAGCUACCCUUUUAUCAUCUUUUGUAUUUGAUGAUUUAUGAUGCUAAUGUAUAGAACAGAAAUGGAAAAGAAUGUAAUGUUUAUUUUGAGCAAAUGUGAUGUAAAAAGAAAUGAUGCGAAAACUAUGUAAAGAAUUGCUUAUGAAAAUGAUAGAUUCUUGUAUGCGAUCAAAAAGAAUCAUAGUACUAGUUGAAUGCUUAGUUUCCUAUCUUUCACUCAUGGCUAUUGCUUACCCUCGUGUAAGCCGUUUGUGUAUGUUUUCGCUAUUGCACUUCUCGUUUGAAAUUAUACAAGUGAUGAGCCUUGGGCGGAUAGGGAAAAUUCUGUCCGUUCGGCGUCUGUUUGACGUGCUCGGGCCGGCCCAAAUUGGUAUCGGUCCCCGGGACGUGACGUCAAGAGCCGUUGUGGAGAGACAUAGGGUAGAUGAAUCUUGAGAUUGUGGCCUCGGAGAUCCCGUCUAUGCUUAUGGCUCUCUUUGUCCAACCGGCCUUGUUGGAAAGGAUUAAAGGAUUGCAACCCGCGGACCCAAAUCUCCAAAAGGUGCGGCGAGACAUCGAAAGUGGACGUGGCGGUGAGUUCAGCGUUGACGCCGAGGUUGCACUUCGGUUUCAUAAUCGGUGGUGCAUGCCUGAAGACGAGGAGGUCCGGAAGUUGAUACUGCAAGAAGCGCAUCGGACUCCCUAUGGUAUCCACCCGGGCGGCACCAAGAUGUAUCAUGAUUUAAAAAUGCAUUAUUGGUGGCCGGGAAUGAAAGCCGAUAUCGGACGCCAUGUGGCGCUGUAACACACUGGACCUGUGCAAAUUGCGAGGUUCGAGUGUUUGAUGUGGACUCCGAACUUUUCCACACUUGGUGGAAGGUUGUAGAUGGUAUUCCGACCUAAAAGUUCGAUUUCUAGAAUUUUGGCUUAGUCCUGAGAGUUUUCACUCUUGGGGACCGGUAACUGGUGGGAGAGACCGGUCCCCCCGGAGCAGUGUUGCGGCACUCUUGAGGGAACCGAUCCCUGGUAGGGAGAGACCGGUUUCCGAACGUUGGUUUUGCGGGACGAACCGAGAGACCGGUCCUUGGCAAGGAGAGACCGGUCCCUCUGGGCGAAAACUGCCCAGACCCGGGCAGUGUGCUGUUUGGAUUGUUGAGGGGCUUAUCAGGAUUUUGUUACAUUAGAAGGCUUUUAGAGCCUUUCUCUUCUCUCUUUCCCUCAUUUCUCCCGUUUACACUCAUUUUAGAGAGAAAGAGAAGGAAAAGAAGAAGAAGGAGAAGGAGAGGAGCUUGCUUGGAGGUCUUGGAGCAUCAUCUUCUUCCCCUCAUUUCUCACCUUUGGUGGCUUUGAGCUUGCGGUUGGAGCUUUGUGGAGGAUCAAACUCCAACCCUACUUAGUUUAGAGCUUGGAUUGGAGCUUCUCUUGAGGUUGGUAGCUUAUAUUUUUCAUUUAUUACAAGUUUUUCUAGAUUCUACUAGAUGAAACCCUAGAUUUUAGGAUUUAGGGUUUAUUUUUGGGGAUUUUUGAUUUGAGGGCUUUGAAACCUAAUUGAUGGGUUUAGAACCUUUAUUUAGGUUGGAUUUGAAGAACUCUAACUCCCAUUUGGAGCUUGAGAGAGAAUUUUUCACCUAGAUGAGUUUUUCUCUACUUUAGCCUAUGUUGCUUAAUAAUGGAGCUUAGGGUUGAUCGUAAGGUUCGUUUGACUCUCUUUUCUAUACCUUUAGGAUACUAGAAGAGUGGCGAACACUUUCGUCAGAGCUUACGAAGGGUUUCGGUAAGUUCAGUGGGUUUGACUUCAUGAAAUCGGGAUGAAAUGGCCCCUAAGUAUUCUAUACUUGUCGUGACGUCAAUUUGAUUGCAUAUUCAUGUUAAAUGAGAUUUAUGUGAAUUUUAGAACACUUAAACUACAUGCCUUAUGUAUCAUGAAAAUUUCACUCUAUAUAGUAGGGCAUUCGGGGCAUUUUGCAUGUAUAUGAGGAGUGUUCGUGUUAGCGACUUGAAAAUGUCUCUUAUGUUAGAAUUUGCUCAAAUUAUGCAUUUAUAAAUAAUAAACUCAUGUUUGGACUUAGUGGACAAAAUGCCAUAAAGAGGCACUUGACAUAGUAAACUGUGAAACUACAACAUAGAGACAUAGUGAUAGGCCAUUGAACAUCUACUAUAUUCCAUGUUAGAGACAUGAUGACAGAGAGAUAGGCCAUCGAGAUACUUGAUAUAUUCCAUGUUUUUAGACAUGAGGACUUGGUACUUGAGAUAGAUCUUUCGCUUGCUUGCCAUUGUGCUCAUUCGCACAUGCUUGUGAGGGUCGCUCCCUACAAGCCGGCACUCCAGAGAUAGCCAUCACGACAUAUGCUCGCUCGUGCGGGAUUGGGCGCCGAAAUUGGAUGCCGUGGGGGAGGCUCAUCCCUAGAGUGGGGAUGUUGACUACACGGGGCCAUUAGGCACGGCGCAGGCCGGACUACCCACGGGUAGGUCCUAUAGGAUUGGAUCUUUGAUGACUUAGCAUAACGACUGGACAUUGACUAGAAUAGUAAACAAGACAUUUUACUAUUUAGCUUGUGGACAUCAUGCUAGUGAUACUUUGGUACAUUCAUAAUAGAAUAGUCCUUUUAUUACUUAUGCAAAUUCAUGCUAAGUAGAGAUAUUAUGUUGUAGUAAGUUUACAUGCUUACUUACAUAUCGAUUCUAUUGCUUUUAUUGUUACCUUCAUGUUUAGCUCUUUUGGGCCUAGCGGUGCUUUCACUGAAGUCAGUAAUUGCCCACUGGGAACUAUAUUUAAUAGUUCUCACGCUUUCUGUUUUAUGUUUCCUUUUCAGAGCCUUCGACACCGGCGGAGGCACGGGAUCGCUCCAAGGGUGUCGCCUAGCUAGAUAGAGGGGAGCUACUUUUGAGCUUUGGUGGUUUACUCUUUCUUUUAUUGUAUUAGAGAGUGAGAGAGAGAUUUUGAGUACCUUAUAUAGAGAGACCACCUAUGUGCUUGUUUAGCUUUUGUAUUUGGGAUUCCUGUUGUAUUUAUUUUAUGGUUUAUUUAAUGAUUUUAGCUCUCUACUCUUCACACUGUUUUAGAUACUAGAUGUUGUUCAAUGCUCUGAUAUAUCUAGAUCUUCUUUAUUUUCUUUAUUUAUCGUUUUGUUUUAGACGCCUUAUAUGUUUCAGACAUAUGGCGGGUCUGGACAUGCGCCGGGCGGGUUUCCACUGGGUCCCGGGGCAUGACAGAUUAGUUUGGUAUCAGAGCCUAGGGUUGAGUCUUAGUGGACCUGGCAAACCUUAGGCCGGUUGGCCUAUUGGAAAUAGGCUCGUGAGAGACGAGGUCUAUUUGACUUGUAAGCGAAAGUAUCUUGAUUGGGUAUCUUGAUAACUCUAGAAAGUGGAGUUAAAUUGAAGUGUAUAGCUCCUAACUUCGUGGAGGGUUACGUUGGCAGCCGACAACGUAACAUCGGGAGUUAGUAGCACACUUCAUUACUUUCGUAUGAUUUGGGGUAUUAUCUGCUUGAGCGGGGAUACGAUAGCGUGGGUUACUAACUUGUGCUUUUAUGAUGUUGUAGUUAGAUGCCGAUCACUCGCUCCCAAUCUGCCGGAGCGGAUAAUGCGGCACAUCUUGAGGAGGUCGAGACCUCCGCUACCUCCGAAUCUGGCGAGGUCCAGGAGUUGAGGAGCCAGCUUGCGGCCCUCACCGACCUAGUGACUCAGCAGGUGGAGGCAGCCCGACAACAGACUGAGGCGACGUGCCGGCAGAAGGCGCGGAUGAAGCGCCUGGAAGGCCUUCUUCUGCAGCAGGCGGCAGCUUCCAGGGAAUCCCAGGCCCCUACAUCGCCAGCACCAGUUGUGGACGUCGCGCCGAGAGCGCCGUCCCCGAUUGGAGCUGUUUUUCCCGUGUUGGUCAAGGGAGCGGAGCGGGACCGACUGAUGGAGCGCCUCAACGAGUUUAAGAGGAGCAGUCCUCGGAUAUUCGACGGUGAGAAGGUCGACCACUGGAUCAUGGAGAAGUGGCUGAUACAUAUGGAGAAGCUCUUUCGCGACACCUUCAUGGAGGAGAGAGAUCGAGUUUGGCUCGCCACACACCAUUUGGACGGCGAGGCCUACCGCUGGUGGUUGGAUCUCCAGGAGAACCCCAGCACUGAUUUGGCGGCUAUCUCGUGGAAGAAGUUUAAGGAGCUUCUGUUGGCGCACUACUUUCCGACCAGCGUCAAGAGGAAGAUGGAGCAGGACUUGCGCAAUUUGCGCAGGGAGACAGGACAGUAGCCGAGUAUGAGCAGGAGUUUUCUCGGCUUCUACACUACGUGCCUUUCAUCGUGCGGGAUGACGAGGACAAGGCCCGCAUAUUCGAGCGAGGGUUGCGACCGUCGAUUUUUCGAUUUGUGCAAUCCUCUAACCUCCAAACCUAUCGGGAGGUGGUGGAUCGUGCGCUCAUCGUGGAGAGCGGCGCGGCGGAUGUCCAGGAGCGGCGAGAGGUUAUGGAUAAGGGUAAGGCCAAGAGGCCUACGGCUGAGGGUGCGAGCCAGACGCACUCUAGGAGGCCGCCGAAGCAUCCGAGGAGCCAGCAGCGUGGGCGUGGCUCGGCGACCCACCGUGGAGGUUCUGACCGACACCGACCUCCCCAAUGCGUGAUCUGUGGUGGUCCCCACAUUCCACGGCAGUGCCAGCAGCGGGGAGGGAGGUGUUUCCAGUAUGGCCAGGAUGGCCACUUUCGGACCUAGUGCCCGAGAGGUUCUUCACCGGCACCGUCGACUGCAUCGACACCGGCUCUACCAGCCGCUAGCCACGGGACUCCAUCGACACAGUACCAGCUUGGGUGGCCACCCGUCCAGCGCCAGAGCGAGGGAUCUCGACAGGCUCUGAGUGGGCGUUUGUAUGCGGCUAAGACCGAGGAGGCGGCAACAGCCGAGGAUGUGGUUGCAGGUAUCAUUUUACUUGAUGGCAUUAGAGUUCGUGCUUUAUUUGAUACCGGUGCAUCGCAUUCGUUUAUAGAUCGGCUGUUUGCCGAGUUGCAUGGCAUCCCUUUGGUUUCUUUGUUGCAUCCGGGACAUGUCGUAGUACCCGACCACACUCUGGAUAUUAGAGAGCAUUGCCCCUGUUGCCCUAUUCGGGUAGGAGAUUGGAUUAUGCCCGUGGACUUGCUAGCCUUGCGCAAGUUGGGAGAAUUUGAUGUGGUCCUGGCUAUGGAUUGGCUAACCAAGUAUUAUGCCACGAUUGAUUGUAAGAAUCGCACGGUUACCUUUAGAGAACCGGGACAGACUGAGGUUGUAUUUAGAGUAUGCCGGAGUUCGCUUUUCGCGACGUCGAUCAGCUCGUCUCGAGCUAAGCAGCUGAUCAGCCGAGGAUGUGUAGCCUACUUGGCUAGUAUUGUGUUGAGGAGCGAGGAUGACACCCCUAGGAUUGAGGAUAUCCCGGUGGUACGGGAAUUCCAGGACGUGUUUCCAGCUGAGCUACCGGGUAUGCCACCCGAUAAGGAGAUCGAGUUUGUGGUAGAUCUCAUCCCUGGGACUACUCCAAUCUCGAAGGCACCCUAUAGGAUGGCACUAGCGGAGCUAAAGGAGCUGAGGGCACAGCUAUAGGAUCUGUUGGAUAAGGGCUUCAUUCGACCGAGCGUCUCACCGUGGGGAGCGCCAGUUCUGUUCGUCAAGAAGAAGGACGGAUCACUUCGCCUAUGCAUGGACUAUCGUAAACUUAAUAAAGUCAUGAUCAAGAACAAGUAUCCAUUGCCGAGAAUUGACGACUUGUUUGACCAGCUUCAAGGAUCGUGUGCGUAUUCCAAGAUAGACUUGCAGUCGGGAUACCACCAGUUAAAAAUCAAACCCGAGGAUGUAUCGAAGACGACUUUUAGAACACGGUAUGGACACUAUGAGUUCACAGUUAUGCCGUUCGGGCUUACUAAUGCUCCGGCAGUCUUUAUGGAUCUGAUGAACCGUGUUUUCAAGCCUUAUUUGGACAGGUUCGUCGUGGUGUUUAUCGACGACAUUUUGGUUUAUUCCCGAAGUGAUGCAGAUCAUGAGGAACAUUUGAGAUUUGUGCUCCAAGUACUUCGGGAAAAGGAGCUUUAUGCCAAGCUGAAAAAGUGUGAGUUUUGGCUCCGAGAGGUAGCCUUCCUUGGGCAUUUAAUAUCGGGAUCGGGUGUAGCCGUGGAUCCUAAGAAGAUUGAAGCAAUCAAGAAUUGGCCGAGACCGACGAGUGUCACGGAGAUACAGAGUUUCCUUGGAUUGGCCGGUUACUACCGGAGAUUUGUAGAGGGGUUUGCUAAGCUAUCUACUCCUCUCACGAGGCUUACGCUUAAAGGUGUUAAGUUCAUCUGGAAUGAUGCGUGUGAAAGAAGUUUCCAAGAGCUGAAGCAACGACUGACGACCGCACCUAUCCUAACCCUGCCAGUUGCUGGAAAAGGGUAUGUUGUUUACAAUGAUGCAUCUCUUAACGGAUUGGGCUGUGUUUUGAUGCAGGACGACAAGGUGAUCGUGUAUGCUUCUCGCCAAUUGAAGGAAUAUGAAAAGAAUUACCCUACUCACGAUUUGGAGUUGGCGGCCGUAGUCUUCGCAUUGAAGUUAUGGCGCCACUACUUAUAUCGCGAGCGGUGUCAGGUAUACACGAAUCACAAGAGCCUCAAAUACCUGUUCAUUCAAAAGGAGUUGAACUUGAGACAGCGUAGAUGGCUGGAGCUGCUCAAGGAUUAUGAUCUGACGAUUCUACAACACCCGAACAAGGCUAACGUGGUGGCGGAUGCGCUAAGUAGGAAAUCAACGAAAAACUUAGCAAUGCAUGUUGUUAGUCAACCGCAGUUGAUCGAGCAGAUGAAGCGGUUGGAGUUGGAAGUGGUGAUUCCGGAUACGCCUUUGAGAUUGAUAACCUUGGUGGUGCAACCUACACGUUUGGAUAUAAUUAAAGAAAAGCAAGUAUCCGAUUCGAAAUUGCAAAAGGUUCGAGAUAAAAUGGACAAUGGUUGCACCGGCGAUUUCCUUGUGGAUGACCUAGAAUUGAUGCGUUUUCGUGGAUGAAUUUGUGUACCAGCGGAUUUAGGAAUUAAAGAGGAUAUUCUUCAAGAAGCAUACCGGGCACCGUAUGUUAUAUAUACGGGUGGUACCAAGAUGUACAAGGACUUGAAGUUGCUUUAUUGGUGGCCCGGGAUGAAAAAGGACGUUGGCGAGUUCGUAGCUCAUUGUCUAACUUGCCAAUAAGUGAAAGCUGAGCACCGAUUACCCGCGGGAAAGCUUCAGAGUUUACCUAUUCCCGUGUGGAAGUGGGAGAAGAUCACCAUGGACUUUGUGACUGGAUUGCCUCGCUCUUAAGCCGGGCAUUAUGCUAUAUAGGUGAUCGUGGAUAGGUUAAUGAAGUCGGCGCACUUCAUACCUAUUCAUACUACUUGGACCGGAGAGAAGCUCGCACAAGUGUACCUUGAUGAGAUUGUGCGACUUCAUGGAGUGCCUACAUCGAUAGUAUCGGAUCGAGACACUCGGUUUGUGUCUCACUUUUGGAGGAGUCUGCAGGAUGCCUUGGGCACCCGAUUGGACUUCAGCACUGCCUUCCACCCCCAGAGUGAUGGCAGUCAGAGCGCACCAUUCAGACUUUAGAGGAUAUGCUCCGAGCAUGUGUGAUAGAUUUCCAGGAAGGAUGGUCGCAUC